rnacentral:lncRNA from 1 species
AACACUACUCCGCAUCCAUAACCUAUCAACACCACUUUCCAACCAAAAGCAAUGUUUGAUUUUGAGCCAUCUUUUUCAAGCACAUUUGGAGGUGCUGCCUCAAUGAUGUUGCAACCUUUCGAGACCGGAAAUCCACAUAGUCCCUUAUUUCCUUCAUAUGAAUCAUUUCCAAAUGUGUUGAAUUGUUUUCCUUGAGGAAUCUGACCAUGGAGUUGAUUUUCAGAAACAUUUAAGGACGAAGGAAAUGGCAGAUCUGCCAAUCUAUUUGGAAUCGUCCCAGACAACCUGUUUGAAGAUAGGUCCAACCAUUCAAGACUUGUCAAAUUCCCUAAUGAGGUUGGGAUAUCACCAUUAAGGUUAGUAUGAGAAAGGUUGAGCCCUUUCAGUAAGUUAAGCUUCCCAAAAACCUUUGGAAUACCCCCUUCAAACUGAUUGUUUGAUAGAUCAAUGAUCAUCCACAAGGUGAAAAUUUUCACCAAUUCCAUAUAUUGUCCUUUCAUAACAAUUCCAAUGGAAUAGGUAUAGAAGCCACUACCUCUCUGAACAUACACCCCCAUGUACGACAUUGUACUCCCAAUCUUCUCUAGAUUUAUGAUACCCUUGAAGCUGUUGAUGUAUCUCACUGGUAGAGGUCCAGAAAAAUAAUUACUUGAGAGAUCAAAAAUUUGGUCAUUAAAUAUGUCAUUUUCUAUUAACUGCAAGAAAACUAUCCGGUAAACUGCAUCUUCUAUGGUCCUUCAAUUUUUUUUUUAAAAGUCAUUUUAACUCUUCAUUUAAUAUUUCGCCUUUUUGAGCUUUUAAAUUUGUGUUAUUUAUCAAAUCAUCCCAAAAUGGAUAAAAAAAAUUAACAUUUGUUAACUUUAUUGACAAGACAUACAUAUCGAUAUCAUAUGAACAAUUAAUUGAUUUUUAAAUUUUAAAAAUUUAAAAAUAAAACAUAUAUUAAAAUUUUUCAUCUUUUUUAGCCCUUAAACCUACAUUGUUUAUCAAAUAACUCUUAAACUUACAUUGUUUAUCAGAUGAAAAAAUUAAUAUCUAUUAACUUUGCUAACAUGCAUACAUAUGCAACUUCAUUUAAAUCAAAAAAAUAUAAAAAUAAUUAAAUAUGUAUAAAUCUAAAAAUAUCUUAAAAUUAAAACUAAAAUUUUUUAAACUAUUAAUCGUUUGAAUAAAUAAAACAUACACAUGGAUUAAAUUAGCUAUUAAUCAUUUGAAUAAAUAAAACAUACACAUGGAUUAAUUAAUUAAUCCACAAGCAAUGUUCAUAUAUAGCUUAUAAGACAAAAGUUAAAACAGCCUUCAGUUCAUCUACAUUCCACGUCAAAUCUGCAAGCAUCAAAUAUUAACCUUUGAACUCCAUAAUAACAACACCAAUUUCUAGCAAUUGCAGAAGAAUGUCCAAUCAUUCCACACAAAUCAACAACAAUUUGCAGCAUCCACUACAUUCAUAUGAAUUCCUCACAAAUUAAGACUGCAAAUUCUAACUUGAUUAUACCCUCAAUGAAGCUACCUAAAAGAUAUGAAUUCCACUGCAAAUUUUGUAUUGCUUGGAAUGAAUAUUACUAUUUCCAUUUUAGCAAUUAAAGCAACCUAUAUGUACCCUUUUACAGUCUGCAUUGUUCCAUGUUUCAAUUCAUUCCAUCAUUCCUUCCACUCUGCUAUAUAUUAUUACUUUCUCCUUAUAACCAAACCUUUUACGGCUAACUUGUAAAAAAAUUAUGACAAUACAACAGAGAUCAUUGACACAUUUUGUUCUCCUUUCUCCUUUACUGAGCAGUAGCAAAGAUUAUCGAGACUAAAUUGAAAGUCAUGAAAGAAGACAUAAACAACUCCACCAUACAAAAUGUUACACUCAAACAAACCAUUACAGAUAGUACGAAAUGCAAUGAAAGACAGAGGAAUUGGUACGAUAAUAAAGACAGACACGUACCAAUGCAACCCUUCACCAUAGGCAAAACGGUCUACAGAACAAGAAACUAUGAAAAUGCAACACUAAUUCUUGAACAUCAUUUGCAGUAAUUAGAUCCUUCUUCGUCUAUUGCUUCGAUGGCCUUUCUUUGACAUUCUUCUUCGCCUCAUCUCUUGUUGGUUUUCAACCAAAUUCCCAACCAUUUCGGCUUACCAGUUUGGAAAACAACAUAUCCCACGGACAUUCCGAACACCACUCCGCAUCCAUAACCUAUCAACACCACUUUCCAACCAAAAGGAAUGUUUGAUUUUGAGCCAUCUUUUUCAAGCACAUUUGGAGGUGCUGGCUCAAUGAUGUUGCAACCUUUCGAGACCGGAAACCCACAGAGUCCCUUAUUCGCUUCAUAUGAAUCAUUUCCAAAUGUGUUGAAUUGUUUUCCUUGAGGAAUCUGACCAUGGAGUUGAUUUUCAGAAACAUUUAAGGACGAAAGAAAUGGCAGAUCUGCCAAUCUAUUUGGAAUCGUCCCAGACAACCUGUUUGAAGAUAGGUCCAACCAUUCAAGAUUCGUCAAAUUCCCUAUUGAGGUGGGGAUACCACCAUUAAGGUUAUUAUGAGAAAGGUUGAGCCCUUUCAGUAAGUUAAGCUUCCCAAUAACCUUUGGAAUACCCCCUUCAAACUGAUUGUUUGACAGAUCAAUGAUCAUCCACAAGGUGAAAAUUUUCACCAAUUCCAUAUAUUGUCCUUUCAUAACAAUUCCAAUGGAAUAGGUAUAGAAGCCACCAGUAAAAUCUUGCACACCCAUGUAUGGCCUUGCACUACCUUUUUUCUUGAGAUUGAUGAUAGCAUUGAAGCUGUUGAUGUAUCUCACUGGUAGGGGUCCAGAAAAAUAGUUACUUGAGAGGUCAAAAAUUUGGAUUUUAGAGAAAAAAGGGCUAGACUUGGAGCUAUUGACACGCAAGGAACCAUGCAUAUGAUUUGACUUCAAUACAAGAACUUGUAGCUGUGGAAGACUUCCCAACCAAUGAGGAAAUGUAUCGUUGAUCUUGUUGUUACCAAGAUCUAGCACUUCCAGACCAUUACAAUUAAGGAUGGAUGGUGUCAAAGGCCCUUCUAACAGAUUUCCAUUUAAGUUGAAAUCACUCAAUUGGCAUCCCUUUGCAAAUGUUGGAGGAAUCGUCCCAUAGAACUUGUUCUUCUUCAGAUUCAAGAAUUGAAGGCUGUUGCUUAAAUUUCCAAAACAUUGCGGAAUUGUUCCACUCAAGUUAUUGUGGGACAAAUCAAGAAUUCGAAGAGAAGUGAGAUUGCAGAUUAAAGAAGAGACCUCUCCAUUGAAACUAUUAUUUGAGAUCAGGAAGACACUGAUCUUCGAAGCUGGAAUCGGAAGAUUUCCACGGAUCAAAUUGGAGCUUAAGUCGAGAGCUUCAAUAUUCUUCCAUGGAAAGUGCUCAACUUCUGCCAAAGAGUUAUGAGAUACAUUUAAGUAAGCCAAAAAGCCAUUCCCCACCUCUUGCAUCCACUGUGGAAUCUUACCUUCAAUUCUGUUGCAAGAGAGGUCUAAGCUUUUCAAACUUUUAAGCCCUUUCAAAAAUUGGGGGAAUUCACUAAGAUUGCAAGAUGACAAAAAUAAGCUUGCAAGAUUUACAGUAGAAGUAGUAUUAGAUGUUAAGGAUAGGCUGUUAUAUGAAAGGUCGAGAAUUUCUAGAUUUGUAGGUUUGAGAACAUGCGAAACUCUAUGACACCACUAAGAUUAUUUGAGGAUAAAACGAGUUCGGUAAGAUUGAGAAGUUGGAAUAUUGAAGAUGGAAAAGGACCUUGGAGUUUAUUAUUGUUUAGAUAUAAAUAUUCUAGUGAUUUGGAUUGGAAUUCUUUGAUAUGCCCACUGAAUUGAUUUUGAGAGAGAUCUAUAUCCUUUAAGGAGGGAGCAGUAUACAACCAUGACGGAAGUGUUCCAUUGAGAAAAUUGUCAUAUAAGUCUAAAUAUAUUAGAUUAGGAAAAGCGGUUACCUCAUCUGGAAUGGAACCUUCUAAAGAAUUGUUAUAUAUUGCCAAGUAUUCCAGCUGCGUUAGGUUUAGAAUUGACAAUGGAAUUUGUCCACUCAAUUUGUUCCAUCCCAAUUCUAAAUGAGUGAGUUGCAAGAGGUUCCCCAAUGAUCUUGGAAUUUGUCCCCUCAAUUGGUUCUGCCACAAGUCUAAAUAAGUGAGUUGCAAGAGGUUCCCCAACGAACUUGGAAUUUCUCCACUCAAUUGGUUCUGCGAUAAGUCUAAAUGAGUGAGUUGCAAGAGGUUCCUCAAUGAUCUUGGAACCGGUCCUGAUAAGUUGGACUGGGAGAGAACUAAAAACUUCAAGGACACAAGAUUCCCCAUCGAGUCAGGCAAUUCUCCAAAAAUAUUUGCGCCUGAAAUUAUCAAUUGCUCCAAAGAUGAUAAGUUUGUGAUUGAGACUGGCAAUCCUUGAACGAAAGAAUUUCCUGAUAGAUCUAAGUACUUUAGGGCCUGUAGAUUAUCAACUGAAUCAAUGAAUUCUGUAGAGGAGGACAUGGACGACAGAUCCAAAUGUUCAAGAUUGCUGCUCCGAUUGAACUUCAAAGGAUCAAGAUUGAGGUUUUGGUUGCCUCCCAAGUUGAGGAGAUUGAGGUUUGGCAAAUCAAAAAUGUUUUUUGGGAAUUUUCCUUGCAAAUCACAACCAGCAAGACUGAGAGACCUUAGAGAAGAGGAUAGAUUCAUGAAGACAUGAGCAUUAACAGAAGACAUGUCCAUUCCAUCCAAAAACAGAUGUCUGACCUCGGUUAGGUUGUGAACAAGUCCCUCCAGAGCAUGUUUGUCAAUUGUUAGUACAUUAGCCCAAAAGGAGAGAUCAAGUGAAACCAAUUUCGACAGGUGGGAGACUUGGGAUGGGACUUCUCCUGCAAACAAUGUAUUGGAAAGGUUGAGGUAGAAUAGGCUUGUAAACCGACCGAACUCGGAUGGAAUUUUGGAAUGAUUAAAAUCAUUGUAGGCAAGGUUGAAUUUUUGAAGGUGAGGAAGAAGGAAGAGAGUUGUAUUGGAAGGGAAGUUGCCAUAUAGCCAACUGCAGCUCAAGUCAAGGGCAAUAACAUGAGCAUUUAGGUGGUCACAAGUGACUCCAUCCCAUGAGCAGCAAUCUGUACCCUCCUUCCAUGAAUUUGUCUUGGGAUAAGAUUUAUGGCCAGCAAUCUCAUCGCAAUACAAAGCAGCGUGGUCUGUCUGAGUGAUCGAAAAUGAAUUCUUGAACUGGAUUAGAGAAGCAGCUUCGUGGUGAGAGCAGGAGUGAGAUCCUGAAGAAGAAGCAUAAAAAUGGGGAAAGAAGAGGAAUAGGCAGAGAAAGAGAUAGGGGGCCAUGUUAUGGUUGUAGAGGAAGAUGAAGGAUAGGAAUGGCAUUUAUAGGCAACAAAUAAUACCACAACAUUGCUGUUACAGUCUUUUAUUUCUUUUACAUUGAAAAGAUAUGGAUAUUAGAUUUUUAAAAAUUUUGUAUUUUUCACAAUCAUCAACAACCACUUAGUCUUCUUUUUACCAUUAUUUUUCAUUCUUAAAGUUAGAUUUUUUUUUUAGCAAAAUCUUGUAUUUCUUUUGAACUCCUUAAACAACUAAAAAAAUUAAGAUUGACUUAGUCUUCUUCCCUAUAACACUAAAGAAUGUGUAUCUGUUCACUUGCCUGUCAACCAAAGCUAAUUAAUGUGGAGAUUCUUUUCCAAACGAAAGAAUAAAAUUGUGCUCUAUUCACUACGUUUGAGGAAUAAGACUGUUAAAAUUUUAAUCCACCGAUUCCAUAAAAAUGUGUUUAUAUAUUUACAACCUCAUAAUUCAAAUCUAAAAUCUCAUUUGUUAUAAAUUUUGAUAAAUUUAUUUGGGAAUAGCUAGUUUUCAUUCGUUAAUUAUUUCUCUUUUAAUCAAGUAAAAUAUUAAAACUAAAAAGAUAUAAUGAUUUAUUUGGCAUUUUUUAACUUUACAAACAAAAAGUGAUUUUAGCUUUUCUUUUUUUUUUUUUCCGUCUCUUUUAGUCUUUAAACUUGUAUGAUUCGUUAAAUCACCCAAAAAACAUGAUGUAAAAGUUUAAGUACCCAAUUGAGUGGGAAAAAAAUAAGGGUUUAAUUACUUUUUUUGAAGAAGUUUGAGAGUAUUUUUUAUGCAAUUUAAAAGUUUAAGUGCUUAAUUGAGUGUAAAGAAAAAAGAGGAGGGAUUUAAUUUUUUUUUUUUGAAAAAAUUUGAGGGUAUUUUACACCUUAAGCCAAUAAAAAAAACAUGUAUAUCUUCAUACUUUAAAUAAUUUAUUUAUCAUUUAAAUAGUAAUCUGUGAUUUUAUAAUAGAAUAUGCGUUAAAGGAUUCUGGAAAGUAAAGGAUCUGCACGCACACAGACAUGUUGCGAAGAUUGGGUGAAAUACUAGCUGUCAGGUUGUCUUUUUAUGUGUUUUUGACCUCCAAUUAAAUGUAAAAAAAUGUUUUUUUUUUCUGUUGGUAAUGAACAGGAGCCAAAUGUUGAAGUGGCUGGAACUUGUCUUGUAUUGCUUGCCUGCAGAUUUUGGUAUGUUUGAAUGUAUGGAGAUGUGCCAAGUGGAACUAUUUUGGGGCUUAUCACUACCUCUAUGUCACACAACAGAACACAAAAUAAAAUAAUCAAAUCAGAUCUUUGAAUAUUGAAAUACCAAAAGUUAAAAGAGUACAUGCACUAAAAUACAGUAGAAUACAAUGGAAAUAAUUUUUUAUUUUUUUUAGAUUGUAAAUAAGUAUACAUUAUUGUUGUAAAAUAUAGUCGAAAAUACUUUUUUGUUAAAAUUGGAAUAAACACAUUGUGGAUGAAAAUUUUUAAUACAAUACAAAUUGAUCAUUAACAAAUUAAAUGACGAUUUACAUGAGAAAAAUAAAAAUAAAAAAAAGAAACACCGGCGUUGUUUGCCCGAAUGUGUGCCACAACCCAGUGGGUGUUAGUUACGAAAAGGAUUCUAGCUCUUUCUCUUCUUCACCUCCACCUCCAAUUGAUCUUCAUCUUCAUCUCGUUCCUCCGUGCUAGUAUGGAUUAAAUUCUUGCAAUACAGGGGAGAGAAACCUAGUUUUCCCGUAAACUUAUUAUCAAAAAAGUUGAACAAUUUCAAGUUCCAGCAAAUGGAAAGGGGCUUAGCGGUCUUACUCACACUGGACCUAGCACCUAGGUGGUUUGGCUAAUAGUGGGCUAAGAAAUCUUGAAUGGCGAUAUGGGUUGGGGCUUCCGAGGAGUACAAAUAACCUCUGAGUUUUUUUUUUUCAAAUUUGACGAGCAUCUAGAAUAACUAGUGAAUUACAAUUCUAUUGUACCACAAUCGGUGCAUUGGUCUUUGCGGACUUAAUGUGUUUUGCUUGUUGGUUCUAUUAUCACAAAGCGAACCCAAAAUUGGCUUGGUUCCAAGAUGUAGAAUUUAUGUUGAAUCACCAUUUAGCAAGGUUACUGGGGCUUGUUUCCCUUUCUUGGGCAGGGCAUCAAGUACAUGUCUCUUUACCAAUAAACCAAUUUUUAAAUGCUUUAGUAGACUCUAAAGAGAUCUCACUUCCCCAUGAAUUUUUAUUGAAUCAUGAUCUUUUGGCUCAACUUUAUCCUAGUUUUGAUGAGGGAACAACUCCAUUUUUUACCUUGAAUUGGUCAAAAUAUGCAAAAUUUCUUACUUUUCGUGGAUGAUUAAAUCCAAUGAUUGGGGGGUCCAUGGUUGACUGAUAUUGCACACCAUCAUUUAGCUAUUACAAUUCCUUUCCUAAUAGUACGUCACAUGUAUAAGACCAAUUGGGGCAAUGGACAUAGCCUAAAAGAUAUUUUAGAGGCUAUAGAAGUCCAUUCAUAGGCCAAGGACAUAAAGAACUAUAUGAAAUCGUAACAACAACAUGGCAUGCUCAAUGAUCUCUUAAUUUAGUUAUGUUAGGCUCUUUAACCAUUGUUGUAGAUCACCAUACGUAUUCCAUGUCCCCUUAUCCAUAUCUAACUACUGACUACGGUACACAACUAUCAUUGUUCACACAUCACAUGUGGAUUGGUGGAUUUCUGAUAAUGGGUGUUGUAUGGUAAAAAUUAGUUGUAUUCAUUCUUCACAUAGUUGAUCUUUUGUUGUGGAAGUAUUGUAUUUCUGGUAAUCCAUUAAGUAUUCAGUGUUUGAUACAAUAGAUUUGCAUUUUAUUAUUGUAUUUUGUGGAAGGAUCCUUUUUCUAUUUUGUUUUUUGCAUUUCUGAUAAGUUUACAUUUUUCAGUAAUUAAUUUAUGUUGUUUUAGCCAAACUUUGUAGCGUUUCAGUUUUGGUAAAAUUUCAUCCUUGGUCCCUUUAAACUUCUUUUUGCUUUAAUUUGAUUCCUUUCUAGCGUUGCAAAUUACAUAACACUCUUCAAAUGUCUUAUUAAAUUCUCACUUGUACGAGUGCUAUGUUAAUCAAUUUUAAGUUCCAUAUAACACUUACAUGGCCACAAAAUGUGUGUGUGUGUGUAAGUGUCCUCAACCACAAACAAUCCAAAUUUGCUGAGAAACCACCCACUGUAUAUAGGUUUGCCAAUGAGAUGGCAAGCAGACUGCUAGCUAGAAAUUCAUGCAUCUUUGAAUCACCAAUUCAAUUAAUAAGCUUAACUAGAGGAAAUAAGGACUUUACACCACCAAUUAAAGCAACCUAUAUGUACCCUUUUACAGUCUGCAUUGUUCCAUGUUUCCAUUCAUUACAUCAUUCCUUCAACUCUGCUAUAUACUAUUACCGUCUCCAUAUAACCAAACCUUUUACUGCUAACUUCUAAAAGAAUUAUGAAAAUACAACAGAGAUCAUUGAGACAUUUUGUUCUCCUUUCUCCUUUACUGAGCAGUAGCAAAGAUUAUCGAGACUAAAUUGUAAGUCAUGAAAGAAGACAUAAACAACACCACCAUACAAAAUGUCACACUCAAACAAACCAUUACAGAUAGUACGAAAUGCAAUGAAAGACAGAGGAAUUGGUACAAUAAUAAAUACAGACACAUACCAAUGCAACCCUUCACCAAAGGCAAAACGGUCUACAGAACAAGAAAUUAUGAAAAUACAACACUAAUUCUUAAACAUCAUUUGCAGUAAUUAGAUCCUUCUUCGUCUAUCGCUUCGAUUGCCUUUCUUUGACUUUCUUCUUCGCCUCUUCUCUUGUUGGUUUUCAACCAAAUUCACCAACCAUUUCGGCUUACCAGUUUCGAAAACAACAUAUCCCACGGACAUUCCGAACACCACUCCGCAUCCAUAGCCUAUCAACACCACUUUCCAACCAAAAGCAAUGUUUGAUUUUGAGCCAUCUUUUUCAAGCACAUUUGGAGGUGCUGGCUCAAUGAUGUUGCAACCUUUCGAGACCGGAAAUCCACAUAGUCCCUUAUUUCCUUCAUAUGAAUCAUUUCCAAAUGUGUUGAACUGUUUGCCUUGAGGAAUCUGACCAUGGAGUUGAUUUUCAGAAACAUUGAAGGACGAAAGAAAAGGCAGAUCUGCCAAUCUAUUUGGAAUCGUCCCAGACAACCUGUUUGAAGAUAGGUCCAACCAUUCAAGACUUGUCAAAUUCCCUAUUGAGGUGGGGAUACCACCACUAAGGUUAUUAUGAGAAAGGUUGAGCCCUUUCAGUAAGUUAAGCUUCCCAAAAACCUUUGGAAUACCCCCUUCAAACUGAUUGUUUGAUAGAUCAAUGAUCAUCCACAUGGUGAAAAUUUUCACCAAUUCCAUAUAUUGUCCUUUCAUAACAAUUCCAAUGGAAUAGGUAUAGAAGCCACUACCUCUCUGAACAUACACCCCCAUGUACGACAUUGUACUCCCAAUCUUCUCUAGAUCUAUGAUAGCCUUGAAGCUGUUGAUGUAUCUCACUGGUAGGGGUCCAGAAAAAUAAUUACUUGAGAGGUCAAAAAUUUGGAUUUUAGAGAAAAAAGGGCUAGACUUGGAGCUAUUGACACGCAAGGAACCAUGCAUAUGGUUUGACUUCAAUACAAGAACUUGCAAAUAUGGAAGACUUCCCAACCAAUGAGGAAAUGUAUCAUUGAUCUUGUUGUUACCAAGAUCUAGCACUUCUAGACCUCUACAAUUAAGGAUGGAUGGUGUCAAUGGCCCUUCUAACAGAUUUCCAUUUAAGUUGAAAUUAGUCAAUCGGCAUCCCUGUGCAAAAUUUGGAGGAAUCGUCCCAUAGAACUUGUUCUUCUUCAGAUUCAAGAAUUCAAGGCUGUUGCUCAAAUUUCCAAAACAUCGCGGAAUUGUUCCACUCAAGUUAUUGUGGGACAAAUCAAGAACUCGAAGAGAAGUGGCAUUGCAGAUUAAAGAAGAGACCUCUCCAUUCAAACUGUUAUUUGAGAUCAAAAAGAAAUUGAUGGUCGAAGCUGGAAUCGGAAGAUUUCCACUGAUCAAAUUGGAGCUUAAGUCAAGAACUUCAAUAUUCUUCCAUGGAAAGUGCUCAACUUCUGUCAAAGAGUUGUGAGAUACGUUUAAGUAAGUCAAAGAGCCAUUCCCCACCUCUUGCAUCCACUGUGGAAUCUUGCCUUCAAUUUUGUUGCAAGAGAGGUCUAAGCUUUCCAAACUUUUAAGCCCUUUUAAAAAUUGGGGGAAUUCACUAAGAUUGCAAGAUGACAAAAGUAAGUCUGUAACAUUAGGCAAUAUAUGAUUAACACUAGAUGUAGCAUUAGAUGUUAAGGAUAGGCUGUUAUAUGAAAGGUCGAGAUGUUUUAGAUUUGGAACGUUUGAGAACAUGCGAAACUCUAUGACACCACUAAGAUUAUUUGAGGAUAAAAGGAGCCAGGUAAGAUUGAGAAGUUGGAAUAUUGAAGAUGGAAGAGGACCUUGGAGUUUAUUAUUUUCUAGAUCUAAAUAUUCUAGUGAUUUGGUUUGGAAUUCUUUGAUAUGCCCACUGAAUUGAUUUUGAGAGAGAAUUAUACCCUUUAAGGAGGGAGCAGUAUACAACCAUGACGGAAGUGUUCCAUUGAGUACAUUGUCAAAUAAGACUAAAUAUAUUAGAUUCGGAACAGCGGUUACCUCAUCUGGAAGAGAACCUUCUAAAGAAUUUUCAGAUAUUUCCAAGUAUUCCAACUGCGUUAGGUUUAGAAUUGACAAUGGAAUUUGUCCACUCAAUUUAUUUGAUCCCAAGUCUAAAUGAGUGAGUUGCAAGAGGUUUCCAAGUGAUUUUGGAACCGGUCCUGAUAAGUUGGAAUAGGAGAGAUCUAAAAACUUCAAGGACACAAGAUUCCCCAUCGAGUCAGGCAAUCCUCCAAAAAAAUUUGCGCCUCUAAGAAUCAAGUACUCCAAAGAUGAUAAAUUUGUGAUUGAGACAGACAAUCCUUGAAAGAAAGAAUUUCCUGAUAGAUCGAAGUACUUUAAGGCCUGUAGAUUAUCAACCGAAUCAAUGAAUUCUGUAGAGAAGGACAUCCACGACAGAUCCAAAUGUUCGAGAUUGCUGCUCCGAUUCAACUUCAAAGGAUCAAGAUUGAGGUUUUGGUUGCCUCCCAAGUUGAGGAGAUUGAGGUUUGGCAAAUCAAAAAUGUUUUUUGGGAAUUUUCCUUGCAAAUCACAACCAGCAAGACUGAGAGACCUUAGAGAAGAGGAUAGAUUCAUGAAGACAUGAGCAUUAACAGAAGUCAUGUUGAUUCCAUCCAAAAACAGAUGUCUGACCUCGGUUAGGUUGUGAACAAGUCCCUCCAGAGCAUGUUUGUCAAUUGUUAGUACAUUAGCCCAAAAGGAGAGAUCAAGUGAAACCAAUUUUGACAGGUGGGAGACUUGGGAUGGGACUUCUCCUGCAAACCCUGUAUAAGAAAGGUUGAGGUAGAAUAGGCUUGUAAACCGACCGAACUCGGAUGGAAUUUUGGAAAGAUUAAAAUCAUUGUAGGCAAGGUUGAGUUUUUGAAGGUGAGGAAGAAGGAAGAGAGUGGUAUUGGAAGGGAAGUUGCCAUAUAGCCAACUGCAGCUCAAGUCAAGGGCAAUAACAUGAGCAUUUAGGUGGUCACAAGUGACCCCAUCCCAUGAGCAGCAAUCUGUACCCUCCUUCCAUGAAUUUGUCUUGGGAUAAGAUUUAAGGCCAGCAUAAUCAUUGCAAUAAGAAGAAACAUCCUCUGUUAUGGAAAAAGAGUCCUUAAACUGGAUUAGGGAAGAGCAGGAGUGAGAUCCUGAAGAAGAAAAAGAAGCAUAAAGAUGGGGAAAGAAGAGGAAUAGGCAGAGAAAGAGAUAGGGGGCCAUGUUAUGUUUGUAGAGGAAGAAGAAGGAUAGGAAUGGUAUUUGUAGGCAACAAAUAGUACCACAACAUUGGUGUUACAGUAUUUUUUUUUUUUUCUUUUACAUUGAAAAGCUAUGGAUAUUAGAUUUUCAAAAAUUUUGUAUUUUUCACCAUCAUCAACAACCACUUAGUCUUCCUUUUACCAUAUAUUUUUCAUUCUGUUUUUUUUAACAAAAUCUUGUAUUUCAUUUCAGCUUCCAAAACAACUAAAAAAUUUAAAAUUGAUGAAAUUACAAAGUAGAUUGACUUAGUCUUCUUUCCUAUAACAUUUAAAAGAAUGUCUUGUCAACCAAAGUUAAUUAAUGUGAAAAUUCUUUUUCACACAAAAGAACAAAAUUGUGCUCUAUUCACUACGUUAGAGUAAAAAGACUGCUAGAUUUUUUAAUUAUUUUUUCUUUGAAAAAUUUAAAAGUUUUUUACUGCCUUAAGCCAAUAAAAAAAAACAUGUAUUAAUUUUGUUUUUAAAAAUAGUGUGUUUGAUUGUGAAAUGAUUCAUCAUCCUCCACCACAAACUAUCCAUGUUUGCAGUGUGAAAGCAGCUACUUUCAUAAAGAAACUACUAAGGAGAUGGGAUCACCAAUUUUACCUAAACUCGCAUCAACAUUGUUUAGCAAUUUCAAAAUAGACUAAUUAGUCUGGUUCAAAUACCAAGACUACAAUAUCUAUUCACUUCACUUGGUCUUGCUGCCUAUCACUGUCAACCAAACUUGAUCGACUAUCAGUAAGGAAAUUUCAGUCAUUUGCAGCAUAAUGUACAAGAAUUCCACUCCCACAAAAUAAUUUACAAUAUGGACUAACACUCCUUUGUUUCACUAAAAAUAAUUUUUAAAAAAUGAUUUUUAGAAAGUAAUUUUUGAAAAAUGGUUAGAAGAUAAUUUUUGUUUCUGAAAUAGUUAAUUUUUUUUGGUGUUUAGAUAAAUUUUGUUAUGUUUUCAUUGUUUACUUGAGUUUAUUUCAUAAAGCUUAUUUAUAUUUUAAUUAAUCAUGUUUUAGUUUUAAUUAAGCUUAAUUUACUUAAUUAAACUUAAUUGUUAAUUUCGUACAUUAAAAUAUAAAUUUAUGUUUAAUUAAGUUGAAAGUGAUAAAUAUUUAUUUUGAAUAUUAUUUGAAUAAGUUGAAAAAUGAUUUAAUUUGAUAAAAUUGAAGUCAGGGCCAUAGAACUAUGCUUUUUACUGACAAAAUCUUGGAUGCAGAGAUUAUUGAGACUAAAAAAUGAAAGUCAUGAAAGAAUACAUAAAUAGUUGAACCAUACAAAAUGUUACAUUUUGUAAUGCAAUGAAAUAUAGAUGAAUUGUUACAAAAAUAAAGACAGAUGCAUUGCAAUGCAACCUUUCUCCAUAGGAAAAAAAUUUGACAGACUUCAAAACAAGAAAUUAUGAAGAUACAACAUACACACUUGAACAUCAUUUCCACUAACUAGAUCCUUCUUCGUCCAUUGCUGCGACUGCCAUCCUUUGACUUUCUUCUUCGCUUCUUCUCAUGUUGGAUUUCAACCAAAUUCACCAACCAUUUUGGCUUACCAAUUUGGAAAACAACAUAUCUCACGACCAUUCCAAACACUACUCCGCAUCCAUAACCUAUCAACACCAAUUUCCAACCAAAAGAGAUGUUUGAUUUUGAACCAUCUUUUCCAAGCACAUUUGGAGGUGGUGGCUCAAUGAUGUUGCAACCUUUUGAGACCGGAAAUCCACAUAAUCCCUAGUUUCCUUCAUAUGAAUCAUUUCCAUAUGUGUUGAACUGUUUGCCUUGAGGAAUCUGACCAUGGAGUUGAUUUUCAGAAACAUUGAAGGACGAAAGAAAUGCCAGAUCUGCAAAUCUAUUUCGAAUUGUCCCUGACAACCUGUUUGAAUAUAGGUCCAACCAUUCAAGACUCGUCAAAUUCCCUAUUGAAGUGGGGAUACCACCGUUAUAAACACUGUCACAUGGCAUGAAAAACACACCCUCAUAUUCACUUUCACAUUAGUCAUCAUAAGCUUAUAACAUAUGUCAUAGCAAUCUCAUAUAUAUUCAUAAUUUCACAAUUUCACAAGCGUACAUAUAUCACAUUUAAUCAUAUGCGCGAGAAAACUUACUCUCACUUACUCUUGGAAUUUAGAGUAGGAAUUUAGGCUACCACUAAAUUCUCAUCAAUUAAACAAUGAAACAUCUACGAGCAACAAUUUCAAACCACAAUGAAUCGAGAGCUCAAACUAGCUCUUCCUCUAACUCGUAGAAGGCUUUAAUGAAUCCGAGGCUUCACACGUGACAAUCACACAAUACUCACAGUCAAAUGACAGCCAAGGACCCACUUAAACUAACCAAAAUAAAAGCCUAAGCUACCUUCUAAUGUAACCAAACCCUUUAGCAUGACGAACUUAAAAUGCAAAUAUAUCAAUCUACACUUAAACAUUUUCACAUGAAACAAGUUUCAGUCAUCCCCCAUAUUCAUUUAUAGCUAAACUCCAAUCUUUAAACCACACAAAACUACAAGUUUCAAGGUAUAACAUUUUUCGACAAAUUUUGACCAUAAUAAUGAAAAUUCAUUAAAACACGGGAAAUCUAUAAUGAAACUUAGAAGUAAUUUUAAAAAACUUCUAAUUAAGUUAAAACAAGUUGAAAAACACUUUUAAAUCACAUUUUCAUCCACAAUCUCGAAUUCCACCAUUAAUGACCCAAUUUUUAGGUUUAAAUUAAAACAUGCAAUUUCAUAACUAAAAUCUCAAUUUUAAAGUCUAGAUAACAUUAAAAACUAAUGAGAAAGUAAAUGGUUACCUUUGAUGAAAGAUUAAACGAGUUUUGAAGUAUAUUUGAAAAACCCACAAUUGAAGAAGAUGAUGAAAUCUAUGGCGUUUUUGAGUGUUUUUCUUGGAGAUUUAUGAAGGUAAUUGACUUGGGAAUUAUAAGAAAUCAAAGUACUAUGGUUUGGGAAUAAAAAUUAAUUGAAAGAUCAAGGGAAUAGCAAAGGACGGCAAUAGCAAACUUUGGAGAGUAACUAUUGUGAAAUAGAACAGGGAAUGGGGUUUAUUAGGUUCAAUUUAAAGCAUUGGUAAAACUGCAAUCUAAGUGCUCACUAUUUUAACUUUGUUACAAAUUAGUCCUUUUUCUAAAUUUUAGGUAUUUAAAACUCAUUUUCAGAAAUCGGCUCAAUUCCCUAAUAGCCAUUGUCGAAAACAUUAUCGAAUACUAACCUUACGAAAUUUUGAGUACAUAUAGGCUAAAAUUCCUAAAAUACACUCGAAACUCUUAAACCUUAUUUUGGGGUGUUACGCGCAUGGUCAUGAUUCAUGUUGAAUUAAUACAUCAUUCACCGUAAUAAGGCUUAUCGUUGUAAUAAUUAGUUAAAUCACCUAAUAUCUAAAAAAUAAUUAUUAUUUUCAUAAAAUCAUUGAUCAAAUUUUUGUUUUCAAAUUUCAUACAUGAAAUUAACAAAUAAAGAUAGCUCUAAAUAGCAAAACCCAAUAUGUGUAACAAGUAUUUUUAUUAAUCCAUUUGGAACUAGAUUUUGUUUUCUAAUGUUAAGGUUUGCUGCAGCAAAUAAAUUGAUUAAUGCUUAUGAAUAUAAUGUUGGAUUAAAAUCCUUAAUUAUGAGUACAUAUGUAUAAUGUUUGAUAUUACAAUUAUCUUAAUAAUUUUUUUCUGUUUUUGUUGAUUGAUGAUUAUAAAAAUCAUUAUUCUUUUGAAGGCAUACUUUGUUGUCAAUAACAGUACCUGCACCCUAAGAAAUCACCAGGAAGCACAUUGUCAGGAGAUCCUUGCUGGAAAAAACAUUGUGCAAACUUAGGAUUUCAAUUCUCAGCAAGGAACUUGCAAGCCUAUUAUAGUAGAAAUGUUUUAUCCAAAUGAUAAAGAUGUUGAUGCAACAUUUUAGAUUGCAAAUUCCUUCAUCACAUUUGGAAUCCUAACCACAGGGACUUGCAAGCCUAUUAGCUCCAGGAACUUUAGAUUGUACCUGUUCAAUACAUUUUUUCAAAGAAGGAACCAUAGGUGAAAUGCGUACGUCUACUCUGGUUCAUCUCAUUGAAUACAUCAAAUGGAGGAUCAAUACGCUGAAAAAGGGACAAUGGAAACAACUUUAGUCAGCAACUUGAGUUUUAUAACUACUGCUAUGCUAACCAGCAGACCAUAACAGCAUACAUAAAAAAAAAAGAUGCUGACUUACAAUUUCUUUCAUUUCAUCACAACCAAUCAAAUCCCUUGCAAUGUUGUUUGGAUCACAACAGCUCAUCUUUCAAUCCUAGAUGGCUCCGCCAAUUUUUUUAAAGCAUACAUAAACUGUUAAAGAAAUAAAUGGAUAAAACAACUACAGGAUACAUGUCUGGACUGCAUGAGCUAACUUGUAAAAAAAAAAUUAUGAAAAUACAACAGAGAUCAUUGAGACAUUGUUGAAGUUGGCUUGCGUGCACACCAAGAAGCAGACCAAGCUGUCCGAGCCAUGCAAGUUGCGGCUGAAGCUUAUGCUGCUGUUUUGUUACUUUCAAAUAGAUAUUUUAUUACUUAGUUAGAUAUGAACUAAGUUGUUGAUAUGCUUGAUGUAAUUAGGUGCUGAUAGAUUGAUAAAUCAGCUUUACCAAGUGUACAAGCAAUGUUUAUCAAGUUACUAAGCCACUUAUUGGAGUUAGGAAUGUGUUUAGGUAACAUUUUCUUAUUUUUGACCAGCUGAUUGCUUGGUAUAUGUAAUGGCAUUGUGCCUUCAUUCAAAUGUAAUGAAAUCUUUCAGAAAAUUCUUCUUCAUUUGGUCUUUAGUUAAGCAUUUUUAUUCACAAAGAUCUUGCUGCUUUUGUUUUGUUUGUUGAGCAAGAUAUUAAUGCUUUAUGCUUAAGUUUCUGUCAAAAUAUCUCAUUCUUUUUUCUUAGUUCCUACAGACAUUUUGUUCUCCUUUCUCCUUUACUGAGCAGUAGCAAAGAUUAUUGAGACUAAAUUGAAAUCCAUGAAAGAAGACAUAAACAACACCACCAUACAAAAUAUUACACUCAAACAAACCAUUGCAGAUAGUACGAAAUGCAAUGAAAGACAGAGGAAUUGGUACAAUAAUAAAGACAGACACAUACCAAUGCAACCCUUCACCAUAGGCAAAACGGUCUACAAAACAAGAAAUUAUGAAAAUACAACCCUAAUUCUUGAACAUCAUUUGCAGUAAUUAGAUCCUUCUUCGUCUACUGCUGCGAUUGCCUUUCUUUGACUUUCUUCUUUGCCUCUUCUCAGGUUGGUUUUCAACCAAAUUCACCAACCAUUUCGGCUUUCCAGUUUGGAAAACAACAUAUCCCACGAACAUUCCGAACACUACUCCGCAUCCAUAACCUAUCAACACCACUUUCCAACCAAAAGCAAUGUCUGAUUUUGAGCCAUCUUUUUCAAGCACAUUUGGAGGUGCUGGCUCAAUGAUGUUGCAACCUUUCGUGACCGGAAAUCCACAUAGUCCCUUAUUUCCUUCAUAUGAAUCAUUUCCAAAUGUGUUGAAUUGUUUUCCUUGAGGAAUCCGACCAUGGAGUUGAUUUUCAGAAACAUUUAAAGACGAAAGAAAUGGCAGAUCUGCCAAUCUAUUUGGAAUCGUCCCAGACAACCUGUUUGAAGAUAGGUCCAACCAUUCAAGAUUCGUCAAAUUCCCUAUUGAGGUGGGGAUAUCACCAUUAAGGUUAUUAUGAGAAAGGUUGAGCCCUUUCAGUAAGUUAAGCUUCCCAAAAACCUUUGGAAUACCCCCUUCAAACUGAUUGUUUGAUAGAUCAAUGAUCAUCCACAUGGUGAAAAUUUUCACCAAUUCCCUCUCCUGUCCUCUCAUAACAAUUCCAAUGGAAUAGGUAUAGAAGCCACUACCUCUCUGAACAUACACCCCCAUGUACGACAUUGUACUCCCAAUCUUCUCUAGAUUUGUGAUAGCCUUGAAGCUGUUGAUGUAUCUCACUGGUAGGGGUCCAGAAAAAUAAUUGCUUGAGAGGUCAAAAAUUUGGAUUUUAGAGAAAAAAUAGCUAGACUUGGAGCUAUUGACACUCAAGGAACCAUGCAUAUGAUUUGACUUCAAUACAAGAACUUGCAAAAAUGGAAGACUUCCCAACCAAUGAGGAAAUGUAUCAUUGAUCUUGUUGUUACCAAGAUCUAGCACUUCCAGACCACUACAGUUAAGGAUGGAUGGUGUCAAAGGCCCUUCUAACAGAUUUCCAUUUAAGUUGAAAUUACUCAGUUGGCACCUCUCUGCAAAUGUUAGAGGAAUCAUCCCAUAGAACUUGUUCUUCUUCAGAUUCAAGGAUUCAAGGCUGUUGCUCAAAUUUCCAAAACAUUGCGGAAUUGUUCCACUCAAGUAAUUGUGGGACAAAUCAAGAAUUUGAAGAUAAGUGGCAUUGCAUAUUAAAGAAGAGACCUCUCCAUUGAAACUAUUAUUUGAGAUCAGAAAGACAUUGAUGGUCGAAGCUGGAAUUGGAAGAUUUCCAUGGAUCAAAUUGGAGCUUAAGUCAAGAAAUUCAAUAUUCUUCCAUGGAAAGUGCUCAACUUCUGUCAAAGAGUUGUGAGAUACGUUUAAGUAAGUCAAAGAGUCAUUCCCCACAUCUUGCAUCCACUGUGGAAUCUUGCCUUCAAUUUUGUUGCAAGAGAGGUCUAAGCUUUCCAAACUUUUAAGCCCUUUCAAAAAUUGGGGGAAUUCACUAAGAUUGCAAGAUGACAAAAGUACGUCUGUAAGAUUAGGCAAUAUAUGAUUAACAGUAGAAGUAGUAUUAGAUGUUAAGGAUAGGCUGUUAUAUGAAAGGUCAAGAUAUUCGAGAUUUGGAAGGUUUGAGAACAUGCGAGACUCUAUGACACCACUAAGAUUAUUUGAGGAUAAGCUGAGGUGGGUAAGAUUAAGAAGUUGGAAUAUUGAAGAUGGAAGAGGACCUUGGAGUUUAUUAUUCUCUAACGCUAUCAAUUCUAGUGAUUUGGAUUGGAAUUCUUUGAUAUGCCCACUGAAUUGAUUUUGAGAGAGAUAUACUGUCUUUAAGGAAGGAGCAGUAUACAACCAUGACGGAAGUGUUCCAUUGAGUAAAUUGUUAGAUAAUUCUAAAUAUUUUAGAUGAGGAAAAGCGGUUACCUCAUCUGGAAUGGAACCUUCUAAAGAAUUAUAAGAUAUUUUCAAAUGUUCUAGCUGCAUUAGGUUUAGAAUUGACAAUGGAAUUUGUCCACUCAAUUGGUUAUGCCACAAGUAUAAAUCAGUGAGUUGCAAGAGGUUACCCAAUGAUCUUGGAAUUUGUCCACUCAAAUGGUUCGCCGUCAAGUCUAAAUGACUAAGUUGCAAGAGGUUUCCCAGUGAUCUUGGAAGCGGUCCUGAUAAGUUGGAAUGGGAGAGAACUAAAAACUUCAAGGACACAAGAUUCCCCAUCGAGUUAGGCAAUCCUCCAAAAACAUCUGCGCCUAUAAGAAUCAAGUACUCCAAAGAUGAUAAAUUUGUGAGUGAGACAGACAAUCCUUGAAAGAAAGAAUUUCCUGAUAGAUCUAAGUACUUUAAGGCCUGUAGAUUAUCAACUGAAUCAAUGAAUUCUGUAGAGAAGGACACGGACGACAGAUCCAAAUGUUCAAGAUUGCUGCUCCGAUUGAACUUCAAAGGAUCAAGAUUGAGGUUUUGGUUGCCUCCCAAGUUGAGGAGAUUGAGGUUUGGCAAAUCAAAAAUGUUUUUUGGGAAUUUUCCUUGCAAAUCACAACCAGCAAGACUGAGAGACCUUAGAGAAGAGGAUAGAUUCAUGAAGACAUGAGCAUUAACAGAAGUCAUGUUGAUUCCAUCCAAAAACAGAUGUCUGACCUCGGUUAGGUUGUGAACAAGUCCCUCCAGAGCAUGUUUGUCAAUUGUUAGUACAUUAGCCCAAAAGGAGAGAUCAAGUGAAACCAAUUUUGACAGGUGGGAGACUUGGGAUGGGACUUCUCCUGCAAACCCUGUAUAAGAAAGGUUGAGGUAGAAUAGGCUUGUAAACCGACCGAACUCGGAUGGAAUUUUGGAAAGAUUAAAAUCAUUGUAGGCAAGGUUGAGUUUUUGAAGGUGAGGAAGAAGGAAGAGAGUGGUAUUGGAAGGGAAGUUGCCAUAUAGCCAACUGCAGCUCAAAUCAAGGGCAAUAACAUGAGCAUUUAGGUGGUCACAAGUGACCCCAUCCCAUGAGCAGCAAUCUGUACCCUCCUUCCAUGAAUUUGUCAUGGGGUAAGAUUUAAGGCCAGCAAUCCCAUCGCAAUAUAAAGUAGGAAGCAUUGUCUGAGUAAUGGAAAAAGAAUUCUUGAACUGGAUUAGUGAAGCAGCUUCAGGGUGAGAGCAGGAGUGAGAUCCUGAAGAAGCAGCAUAAAGAUGGGGAAAGAAGAGGAAUAGGCAGAGAAAGAGGUAGGAGGCCAUGUUAUGUUUAUAGAGGAAGAUGAAGGAUAGGAAUGGUACUUAUAGGCAACAAAUAAUACCACAACAUUGUAGUCUUCUUUUUACCAUAUAUUUUCCAUUCUUAAAAUUUGAUGUUUUUCUUUUAGCAAAAUAUUGUAUUUCAUUUGAAGUCCUAAACAACUAAAAAAAUUAAGAUUGAUGAGAUUACAAAGUAGAUUGACUUAGUCUUCUUUCCUAUAACACUUAAAGAAUGUCUUGUCAACCAAAGUUAAUUAAUGUGAAAAUUCUUUUUUACACAAAAGAACAAAAUUGUGCUCUAUUCACUACGUUAGAGGAAGAAGACUGCUAGAUUUUUUAAUUAUUUUUUCUUUGAAAAAUUUGAGAGUUUUUUACUGCCAUAAGCCAAUAAAAAAAAACAUGUAUUAAUUUUAUUUUUAAAAAUUGUGUGUUUGAUUGUGAAAUAAUUCAUCGUCCUCCACCACAAACUAUCCAUGUUUGCUGUGUGAAAGCAGGUACUUCCAUAAAGAAAUUACUAAGGAGAUGGGAUUCACCAAUUUUACCUAAACUCGCAUCAACAUUGUUUAGUGCUCCCUCAAUUUCACAUCAAUGCAUUCAAUUUCAAAAUAGGUUACCAAGACUACAAUAUCUAUUCACUUGGUCUUGCUUCCUAUCACUGUCAACCAAACUUGAUCGACUAGCAGUAGGGAAAUUUCAGUCAUUUGCAGUAUAAUGUACAAGAAUUACACUCCCACAAAAUAAUUUACAAUAUGGACUAACACUCCUUUGUUUCACUAAAAAUAAUUUUUAAAAAACGAUUUUUAGAAAGUAAUUUUUGAAAAAUGGUUAAAAGAUAAUUUUUGUUUCUGAAAUAGUUAAUUUUUUUUGGUGUUUAGAUAAAUUUGUGUAAAAUAUUUUUUGAUGUUUAAAAAAAUUCGAGAAAAUAUUUCAUAAAAGUUGUCUUUAAUGAAAUCAACAUAUAUUUGAAAUUUUGUUAUGUUUUCAUUGUUUACUUAAGUUUAUUUCAUAAAGCCUAUUUAUAUUUUAAUUAAUCAUAUUUUAGUUUUAAUUAAUUUUAAUUUACUUAAUUAAGCUUAAUUGUUAAUUUCGUACAUUAGAAUAUAAAUUUAUGUUUAAUUAAGUUGAAAGUGAUAAAUAUUUAUUUUGAAUAUUAUUUGGAUAAGUUGAAAAUGAUUUAAUUUGAUAAAAUUGAAGUCAGGGCCAUAGAACUAUGAUUUUUACUGACAAAAUCUUGGAUGCAGAGAUCAUUGAGACUAAAAAAUGAAAGUCAUGAAAGAAGACAUAAAUAGUUGAACCAUACAAAAUGUUACAUUUAAAACAAACCCUUACAAAUACUACCUAAUGCAAUGAAAUAUAGAUGAAUUGUUACAAUAACAAAGACAGAUGCAUGGCAAUGCAACCUUUCACCAUGGGAAAAAAUUUGACGGACUUCAAAACAAGAAAUUAUGAAGAUACAACGUACACACUUGAACAUCAUUUCCACGAACUAGAUCCUUCUUUGUCCAUUGCUGCGACUGCCAUCCUUUGACUUUCUUCUUCGCUUCUUCUCAUGUUGGAUUUCAACCAAAUUCACCAACCAUUUUGGCUUACCAAUUUGGAAAACAACAUAUCCCAUGACCAUUCCAAACACUACUCCGCAUCCAAAACCUAUCAACACCAAUUUCCAACCAAAAGAGAUGUUUGAUUUUGAACCAUCAUUUUCAAGCACAUUUGGAGGUGGUGGCUCAAUGAUUUGCAUCCUUUUGAGACCGGAAAUCCACAUAAUCCCUAGUUUCCUUCAUAUGAAUCAUUUCCAUAUGUGUUGAACUGUUUGCCUUGAGGAAUCUGACCAUGGAGUUGAUUUUCAGAAACAUUGAAGGACGAAAGAAAUGCCAAAUCUGCAAAUCUAUUUGGAAUUGUCCCAGACAACCUGUUUGAAGAUAGGUCCAACCAUUCAAGACUUGUCAAAUUCAUACCACAAUUAUAAACACUGUCAUAUGACAUGAAUAACAUACCCACAUAUUUACUGUCACAUGGCAUGAAAAACACACCCUCAUAUUCACUUUCACAUCAGUCAUCAUAAGCUUAUAACAUAUGUCAUAGCAAUCUAAUAUAUGUUCAUAAUUUCACAAUUUCACAAGCGUACAUGUAUCACAUUUAAUCAUAUGCACGAGAAAACUUACUCACUUACUCUCGAAAUUUAGUGUAGGGGCUUAGGCUACCAUUAAAUUCUCAAUUACACAAUGAAUCAUCUACGAGCAAUGAUUCCAAAACACUCAUAGAUAUCAACUUUAGCCAAAAAUCGAGAGCUUGAACUAGCUCUUCCUCUAACUCGUAGAAGGCUCUAAUGAAUCCGAGGCUUCACACAUGACAAUCACACAAUACCCACAGUCAAAUGACAGCCAAGCACCCACUUAAACUAACCAAAACACAAGCCUAAGCUACCUUCUCAUGUAACCAAACACUUUAGCAUGACGAACUUAAAAUGCAAAUAUAUCGAUCUACACUUAACAUUUUUGCAUGAAACAAGUUUCAAUCAUCCCCAUAUUUAUCUAUAAUUAAACUCAUACAAAACUGAACGUUUUAAGGUAUCGAUAUUUUUCAACAUGUUUGGCCAUAAUAAUGAAAAUUCAUUAAAAGGCGAGAAAUUGUUAAUGAAACUUGUAAGUAAUUUUAGAAACUUUCUAAUCAAGUUAAAACAAGUUGAAAAACACUUUCAAAUCACAUUUUUAUCCACAAUCUCAAAUUCCACUAUUAAUGAUCCAAUUUUUGAGUUUUAAUUAAAACAUGCAAUUUCAUAACUAAAAAACUCAAUUUUAAAGUCUAAAUAACUUUAAAAAUUAAUGGUAAAGUAAAUGGUUACAUUUGAUGGAAGAUUAAACGAGUUUUGACUAAAUUUGAAAAACCCACUAUUGAAGAUGAUGAUGAAAUCUCUGGAGUUUUUGAGUGUUUUUCCUGGAGAAUUAUGAAGGUAAUUGACUUGGGAAUUAUAAGAAAUCAAAGUAUUAUUGUUUGGGAAUAAAAAAUCAAUUGAAAGAUAAAGGGAAUAGCAAAGGACGGCAAUAGCAAACUUUGGAGAGUAACCAUCGUGAAAUAGAACUGGGAUUGGGGUUUAUUAGGUUCAAUUUUAAAAAUUGGUAAAACUGCAAUAUAAGUGCUCACUAUUUUAACUUUGUUACAAAUUAUUCCCUUUUUUUUUUUUCUAAAAUUUAGGAAUUUAAAACUUAUUUUCAGAAAUUGACUCAAUUCCCUAAUGGCCAUUGUCGAAAACAUUGUCGAAUACCAAGCUUACGAAAUUUUGAGCACAUAUAGGCUAAAAUUCCUAAAAUACACUCGAAAUUCUUCGACCCUAUUUUGGGGUGUUACACACAUGGUCAUGAUUCGUGUUGAAUUAAUCCAUCAUUCACCGUAAUAAGACUUGUCGUUGUAAUAAUUUAUUUUGAUAUGUAUUAUUUUAUGAUGCAUAAACAUCAUAAAUUUUUAUAUUAUGAAAUAAUAUAAUUAGUUAAAUCAUCUAAUAUCUAAAAAAUAAUUAUUAUUUUAAUAAAAUCAUUCAUCAAAUUUUUGUUUUCAAAUUUCAUACAUGAAAUUAACAAAUAAAGAUAGCUCUAAAUAGCAAAACAUGGUAGGAUGGUUUUUUUGUGCAAACUUAGGAUUUCAAUUCUCAUCAAGGAACUUGCAAGCCUAUUAUAGUAGAAAUGUUUUAUCCAAACGAUAAAGAUGUUGAUGCAACAUUUUAGAUUGCAAAUUCCUUGCUCACAUUUGGAAUCCUAACCACAGGGACUUGCAAGCCUAUUAGCUCCAGGAACUUUAGAUUGUACUUGCAAAUUCCUUGCUCACAUUUGGAAUUCUAUUCUGGUUCAUCUCAUUGAAUACAUCAAAUGGAGGAUCAAUACGCUGAAAACGGAUCAAAUCCCUUGCAAUGUUGUUUGGAUCACAACAGCUCAUCUUUCAAUCCUAGAUGGCUCCGCCAAUUUCUUGAAAGCAUACAUAAACUGUUAAAGAAAUAAAUGGAUAAAACAACUACAGGAUAGAAGGCUGAAAAUUUACGAAGGGCAAUGACCUUAAUGUUAAAAUUCCAACGUCCAUUCCUUGGAAAGAUAUCUUCACCAUUGCCCACUCAAGAGAACUCAAAUAGCAGCAAGAUCUAGAAUAAAAUGUAACCCUCAACAACACACAAAUGUUUGUUCUGUCAAGGAACAAUACACAGACAUAUUCACCUACCGUUGGUGCUGGCAGAAUAUGCCCAUUCACUUGGGUGAAAUUAGAGUUGAUAUUAACCCCACAAGAUUUCUGCACCAUAAUUACUGCUAAGUAAAACCUGCACAUAAAUUUUCAUUCUUCACUAGAAACUGAAACUAUUUUUGUAAGUAAAAAUUAGUUGUAUUCAUUCUUCGCAUAAUUGAUCUUUUGUUGUGGAAGUAUUGUAUUUCCGGUAAUCCAUUAAGUAUUCAGUGUUUGAUACAAUAGAUUUGCAUUUUACUAUUGUAUUUUGUGGAAGGAACCUUUACCUAUUUUGUUUUUUGCAUUUCUGAUUAGUUUACAUUUUUCAGUAAUUAAUUUAUGUUGUUUUUGCCAAACUUUGUAGCGUUUCACUUUUGGUAAAAUUUCACCCUUGGUCCCUUUAAACUCCUUCUUGCUUUAAUUUGAUUGCUUUCUAGCGUUGCAAAUUACAUAACAUUCUUCAAAUGUCUUACUAAAUUCUCACUUUUACGAGUGCUAUGAUAAUCAAUUAAAAUUCAAUUCAGUUUUAAGUUCAAUAUAACACUUACAUGGCUACAAAAUGUGUCCUUAACCCCAAACAAUCCAAAUUUGCAGAGAAACCACCCAUUAUAUAUAGGUUUGCCAAUGAGACGGCAAGCAGACUGCUAGCUAGAAAUUCAUGCAUCUUUGAAUCACCAAUUCAAUUAAUAAGCUUAAGUAAAGGAAAUAAGGACUUUACAUCCUCCAAUUAAAGCAACCUAUAUGUACCCUUUUACAGUCUGCAUUGUUCCAUGUUUCAAUUCAUUACAUCAUUCCUUCAACUCUGCUAUAUAUUAUUACCGUCUCCAGAUAACCAAACCUUUUACUGCUAACUUGUAAAAAAAAUUAUGAAAAUACAACAGAGAUCAUUGACACAUUGUUGAAGUUGGCUUGCAGGCAGACCAAGAAGCAGACCAAGCUGUCCGAGCCAUGCAAGCUGCAGCUGAAGCUUAUGCUGCCGUUUUGCUACUUUCAAAUAGAUAUUUUAUUACUUAGUUAGAUAUGAACUAAGUUGUUGAUAUGCCUGAUGUAAUUAGGUGCUGAUAGAUUGAUAAAUCAGCUUUACCAAGUGUACCAAGUUACUAAGCCACAUAGUGGAGUUAGGUAUGUGUUUAGGUAACAUUUUCUUAUUUUUGACCAGCUGAUUGCUUGGUAUAUGUAAUGGCAGUGUGCCUUCAUUCAAACAUAAUGAAAUCUUUCAGAAAAAUCUUCUUCAUUUGGUCUUUACUUAAGCAUUUUUAUUCACAAAGCUCUUGCUGUUUUUGUUUUGUUUGUUGAGCAAGAUAUCAAUGCUUUAUGCUUAAGUUUCUGUCAAAAUUUCUCAUUCUGUUUUCUUAGUUCCUACAGUCAUUUUGUUCUCCUUUCUCCUUUACUGAGCAGUAGCAAAGAUUAUUGAGACUAAAUUGAAAUCCAUGAAAGAAGACAUUAACAACACCACCAUACAAAAUGUCACACUCAAACAAACCAUUACUGAUAGUACGAAAUGCAAUGAAAGACAGAGGAAUUGGUACAAUAAUAAAGACAGACACAUACCAAUGCAACCCUUCACCAUAGGCAAAACGGUCUACAGAACAAGAAAUUAUAAAAAUACAACACUAAUUCUUGAACAUCAUUUGCAGUAAUUAGAUCCUUCUUCGUCUACUGCUGCGAUUGCCUUUCUUUGACUUUCUUCUUCGCCUCUUCUCAUGUUGGUUUUCAACCAAAUUCACCAACCAUUUUGGCUUUCCAGUUUGGAAAACAACAUAUCCCACGAACAUUCCGAACACUACUCCACAUCCAUAACCUAUCAACACCACUUUCCAACCAAAAGCAAUGUUUGAUUUUGAGCCAUCUUUUUCAAGCACAUUUAGAGGUGCUGGCUCAAUGAUGUUGCAACCUUUCGAGACCGGAAAUCCACAUAGUCCCUUAUUUCCUUCAUAUGAUUCAUUUCCAAAUGUGUUGAAUUGUUUUCCUUGAGGAAUCUGACCAUGGAGUUGAUUUUCAGAAAUAUUGAAGGACGAAAGAAAUGGCAGAUCUGCCAAUCUAUUUGGAAUCGUCCCAGACAACCUGUUUGAAGAUAGGUCCAACCAUUCAAGAUUUGUCAAAUUCCCUAUUGAAGUGGGGAUACCACCAUUAAGGUUAUUGUGAGAAAGGUUGAGCCCUUUCAGUAAGUUAAGCUUCCCAAUAACCUUUGGAAUCUCUCCUUCAAACUGAUUGUUUGAUAGAUCAAUGAUCAUCCACAUGGUGAAAAUUUUCACCAAUUCCAUAUAUUUUCCUUUCAUAAUAAUUCCAAUAGAAUAGGCAUAGAAGCCGCUAGUAUAAUCUCCCACACCCAUGUAUGGCCUUGCACUACCUUUUUUCUUGAGAUUUAUGAUAGCCUUGAAGCUGUUGAUGUAUCUCACUGGUAGGGGUCCAGAAAAAUAGUUACUUGAGAGGUCAAAAUUUUGGAUUUUAGAGAAGAAAGGGCUAGACUUGGGGCUAUUGACACGCAAAGAACCAUGCAUAUGAUUAGACUUCAAUACAAGAACUUGCAAAUAUGGAAGACUUCCCAACCAAUGAGGAAAUGUAUCAUUGAUCUUGUUGUUACCAAGAUCUAGCACUUCCAGACCUCUACAAUUAAGGAUGGAUGGUGUCAAUGGCCCUUCUAACAAAUUUCCAUUUAAGUUGAAAUUACUCAAUUGGCAUCCCUCUGCAAAUGUUGGAGGAAUCGUCCCAUAAAACUUGUUCUUCUUCAGAUUUAAGAAUUCAAGGCUGUUGCUCAAAUUUCCAAAACAUUGCGGAAUUGUUCCACUCAAGUUAUUGUGGGACAAAUCAAGAAUAAGAAGAGAAGUGACAUUGCAGAUUAAAGAAGAGACCUCUCCAUUGAAACUAUUAUUUGAGAUCAGAAAGACAUUGAUGGUCGAAGCUGGAAUCGGAAGAUUUCCACGGAUCAAAUUGGAGCUUAAGUCAAGAACUUCAAUAUUCUUCCAUGGAAAGUGCUCAACUUCUGUCAAAGAGUUGUGAGAUACGUUUAAGUAAGCCAAAGAGCCUUUCCCCACCUCUUGCAUCCACUGUGGAAUCUUGCCUUCAAUUUUGUUGCAAGAGAGGUCUAAGCGUUUCAAACUUUUAAGCCCUUCCAAAAAUUGGGGGAAUUCACUAAGAUUGCAAGAUGACAAACGUAAGUCCAUAAGAUUAGGCAAUAUAUGGUUAACACAAGAAGUAGUAUUAGAUGUUAAGGAUAGGCUAUUAUAUGAAAGGUCGAGAAGUUUUAGAGUUGGAAGGUUUGAGAACAUGCGAAACUCUAUGACACCACUAAGAUUAUUUGAGGAUAAAACGAGGCGGGUAAGAUUGAGAAGUUGGAAUAUAGAAGAUGGAAGAGGACCUUGGAGUUUAUUAUCGUUUAACCUUAUGAAUUCUAGUGAUUUGGAUUGGAAUUCUUUGAUAUGCCCACUGAAUUGAUUUUGAGAGAGAGAUAUUGUCUUUAAGGAGGGUGCAGUAUACAACCAUGACGGAAGUGUUCCGUUGAGUAAAUUGUCAAAUAAGUAUAAAUAUAUUAGAUUAGGAAAAGCGGUUACCUCAUCUGGAAUGGAACCUUCUAAAGAAUUAUUAUAUAUUCCCAAGUAUUCCAGCUGCGUUAGGUUUAGAAUUGAGAAUGGAAUUUGUCCACUCAAUUUGUUCCCGGACAAGUCUAAAUAAGUGAGUUGCAAGAGGUUCCCCAAUGAUCUUAGAAUUUGUCCACUCAGUUGGUUCCACGACAAGUCUAAAUGAGUGAGUUGCAAGAGGUUUCCCAAUGAUCUUGGAACCGUUUCUGAUAAGUUGGAAUUGGAGAGAUCUAAAAACUUCAAGGACACAAGAUUCCCCAUCGAGUCAGGCAAUCCUCCAAAAACAUUUGCUACUGAAAUUAUCAAUUGCUCCAAAGAUGAUAAAUUUGUGAUUGAGACAGACAAUCCUUGAAAGAAAGAAUUUUGUGAUAGAUCUAAGUACUUUAAGGCCGGUAGAUUGUCAACUGAAUCAAUGAAUUCUGUAGAGAAGGACAUGAAAGACAGAUCCAAAUGUUCAAGAUUGCUGCUCCGAUUCAACUUCAAAGGAUCAAGAUUGAGGUUUUGGUUGCCUCCCAAGUUGAGGAGAUUGAGGUUUGGCAAGUCAAAAAUGUUUUUUGGGAACUUUCCUUGCAAAUCACAAUAAGCAAGACUGAGAGACCUUAGAGAAGAGGAUAGAUUCAUGAAGACAUGAGCAUUAACAGAAGACAUGUCCAUUCCAUCCAAAAACAGAUGUCUGACCUCGGUUAGGUUGUGAACAAGUCCCUCCAGAGCAUGUUUGUCAAUUGUUUGCUCAUCAUCCCAAGAGGAGAGAUCAAGUGAAACCAAUUUUGACAGGCGGGAGACUUGGGAUGGGACUUCUCCUGCAAACCCUGUAUAAGAAAGGUUGAGGUAGAAUAGGCUUGUAAAGCGACCGAACUCGGAUGGAAUUUUGGAAAGAUUAAAAUCAUUGAAGGCAAGGUUGAGUUUUUGAAGGUGAGGAAGAAGGAAGAGAGUGGUAUUGGAAGGGAAGGUGCAAUAUAGCCAACUGCAGCUCAAGUCAAGGGCAAUAACAUGAGCAUUUAGGUGGUCACAAGUGACCCCAUCCCAUGAGCAGCAAUCUGUACCCUCCUUCCAUGAAUUUGUCUUGGGAUAAGAUUUAAGGCCAGCAAAAUCAUUGCAAUAAGAAGAAGCAUCCUCUAUUAUGGAAAAAGAGUUCUUGAACUGGAUUAAUGAAGAGCAGGAGUGAGAUCCUAAAGAAGAAAAAGAAGCAUAAAGAUGGGGAAAGAAGAGGAAGAGGCAGAGAAAGAGAUAGGAGGCCAUGUUAUGUUGGUAGAGGAAGAUGAAGGAUAGGAAUGGUAUUUAUAGGCAACAAAUAAUACCACAACAUUGGUGUUACAGUCUUUCUUUUCUUUUACAUUGAAAAGCUAUGGAUAUUAGAUUUUCAAAAUUUUUGUAUUUUUCACAAUCAUCAACAACCACUUAGUCCUUUUAUCAUAUAUUUUUCAUUCUUAAAAUUAGAUAUUAGAUUUUCAAAAUAUUUGUAUUUUUCAUUUGAACUCUCUAAACAACUCAAAAAAUUAAGAUUAACUUAGUCUUUUUUCUUAUAACACUUAAAGAAUGUGUGUAAUCUAUUCACAGGUUAACCAAAGCUAAGUAAUGUGGAAAUUCUUUUUCACACGAAAGAACAAAAUUGUGCUCUAUUCACUACGUUUGAGGAAGAAGACUGUUGGAAAUUUUAUUCACCGAUUCCAUAAAUUAAAACGUGUAUACUUAUAUAUAUAUAUUUAUAACCUCAUAAUUCAAAUCUAAAAUCUUAUUUGUUAUAAAUUCUAAUAAAUUUAUUUGGGAAUAGUUAUUUUUCAUUCGUUAAUUAUUUCUCUUUUAAUCAAGUAAAAAAUUAAAACUAAAAAGACAUAAUGAUUACUUUUACCCUUGAAACUUAUAUGGUUCGUUAAAUCACCCAUUGAUGACAUAUUAACCUUUGAGUUAAACUCAAAUUGCUCUUUCCUUUGUUAUAAAUUAAGAGUAUAACUAAUUUUGAUAAGAAUGGUUACUUUUCAUUAACACAGUUUAAAGGACCAUAACACGUAAACUUUGGUCUAUUGCAGAAUUCACAUGCAAUGCAGGACAUUUACAUUAUGCAGAAUUCAACACAUAUAUGGGAAUUUUUGUAUUUCCACAAUCAUCAUGUUUUUAGUGAUCAACAACUACUUCCUUUUUACCAUAUAUUUUUCAUUCAUAAAAUUGAUUACUUCUUUUUACCAAAGAAGUAAAAUAAUUAACAUUCCUGAGAUUACAAAGUCUUCUUCCUUAUAACACGUCAAAUUUGGUCCCAAAUAAAUUUCCACACAAAAUUAAGAAUACACAAAGGCAGGAUGAAUUAUUCCAUGUUUGAACAUCUGCAACAUAAAUGCAUAUGGCAAAAAGGCUCAAACCAUACCUUAAGUUCAUGAAUUCUCAUCAUCACAUGUUUAUAAAUGCAACUCAAACUUGAAUAAUUGAAUCUUUUGUAAUUCUACAUGUAUUUGUUUUUUUUUAUGGUGAGCAGUAUAAUGUUUACUAAAAAUUGAAAUUCAAGAAAGAAGACAUACAUAGUUGCACCAUUCAAGAUAAACUUACCUCGAGUAUUGAUACUCGGGUUGAAGUAUCGAUACCAAAUCUUUUUUAUCAUAUAUUUUUCAUUCACAAAAUUGGAUACAUUUUUUUACCAAAAUUUUGUAUUUCAUUUGAAUUCCCUAAACAACUGAGAAAAUUAAAAUUGAUGAGAUUAUAAAGUAGAUUGACUUAAUCUUCUUCCUUAUAAUACGUAAAGAAUGUGAGUGUCUAUUUACUUAGUAUGUAUGGCUGUCAAGCAAUGUAGAAAUUUGCACACAAAAGAACAAAUUUGUGGACUACUUAAAAAUUCAAAGCAUGUGUGGCCAAUAUUCAUUUAUUUUAUUGCAUAAAAUUCAAGGCAUGUGUGUUGAAUAAUUUUAUCCAAGAAGCAUAUUUUCCACAAAACUUUAAUCGGUUGGCAUUAAAUAUGUCAUUUUCUAUUAACUGCAAGAAAACUAUCCGGUAAACUACAUCUUCUUCUUUUAGAUAAAAUUUUGUAAAAAAAAAUUUGACAUUAUCACUUAUAUAGUUAUAUGGUCCUUCAAUUUUAUUUUUUUUAAAAAAAAAAGUAAUUUUAACUCUCCAUUUAAUAUUUCACCUCUUUGAGUUUUUAAAUUUGUGUUAUUUAUCAAAUCAUCCCAGAAUGUAUGAAAAAGUUAACAUUUGUUAACUUUAUUGACGGAACAUACAUAUCGAUAUCAUAUAAACAAUUAAUUGAUUUUUAAAUUUUAAAAAUUUUAAAAAUAAAACAUAUAUUAAAAUUUCUAAGAAAUGAGAAAAUUUGGAAGCAUUGCAAAAGAAUGUGCAAUAAUUCCAAACAAAUUAACGCAACAUUUUAGUUACCACUUAUAUAGUCCUUCAAUUUUAUUUAAAAAAAAUUAUUUUAACUCUGCAUUUAAUUUUUCGCCUCUUUAAACUUUUAAUUUGUGUUAUUUAUCAAAUCUUCCAAACAAAUUAACGCCGUAAUAACCCAUUUUUCCCGGCCCAUAAUUAACCAAAUUAAAAAAAACGAAAUAUAAAAUUUUAAUAACAGUCCACUACAAACACAAUAAGUAGCAGGCCCAAAACCCAAAUGCACUACCUAAUUACAAACCCAACUAAACCCUAACCCAAUACAAACCCCAAAAGCCCAGCUUGCAGCCCACAACACUAAAAACAAUAGAAACCCUAGCAACAGUUUCAGCCGCCGCAACAGUGGCCCCAGCGCUGCAGACUGUCCUCCGCGCGUGUCAAGCCUCCGCGCGCGUGCGCCUCCAAGCUAGCAUGUACCUGCAACGAACAAUAAACAGCAAGCAGCAAGAGAGGCAAAAUAACAGAUUGAUAGCUAAAAAAUAAAGAGUUUUUUUGUAUUUUUUCUUUUUUUCAUUUUUCGGUUAUAUAAAGCCACUUGUGAUACUGUAAAAGGGAUUACGCAUUCGAAAGAAAAAAAAAAGAAUCAAAUAGCAGCAUAAUUUUAAGGUGGUUUCCGAUUUCUACUUCUUUUUUUUUCUUUUUCCUUUGAUUUGUUUUUAUUUGUUGAUUAAAAGAUAAAAAAAAGGGAAGUUCUUACCUACAUAUUGCGCCGCCAGGAGCCUUCGUCCCUUCUGUUUCAAAUCGAAAUGGGGUGGGCAAUGGUCGAAUCAAAAGCGGCGCACAUAGGAUAGAUUUUAGGGUUGGUUAGAUUUUUUUUUUUUAGAAAUGGAGUGUCUGCUAAUGUUAACUUAUAUAUAGCGUAUGAAACGACGACAUUUGAUGCCAUUUUAGUGGUUUCAAAAUGGCGUCGUAUAGGGCCGAGAUCCGUGCGGUGACCCGACCCGGGGAGGAUCCGCGUGUUUUCACUUUGGUGGGAUAUUUGUGCGCUAGGUUCUCUACCUUUGCACUUUGUUUUAAUUCGGUUUAUUUUGAUUCUUCAAAUUGGGCUGCAUAAUUUCCUGCUGACUACAUUUUAGUCCAUUUGCAGCGGUGCGUUUUGGUGGGCAAGGAAUAUUUCCUAUUUUAGUCCCCAUGUUAUUCGCGGUUUGUAAUUUGGUCCUUUCCUUUUAUAUAUAUAAUAAUUUUAUAUAAUACUAUUUUAUAUAUAUAUAAUUUGUAUUAAGUUUUUUAUAUAUCAUCGAUUUCAUAUUUACGUAUUUUUCUACUUAUUUCAUAUAUAAUCUGUUUCAUUUAAAACUUUACUUUAUUAUAUACUUGAUUUAUAUCAACCUUUUAUACAUACUAUUAUACGUAUACGUAUAUUGUUUAUUUUAAAUUAAUAUGUAUAUAUUAUUUCAUGUAUUUCGGUUUUCUUCAUAUACAAUAUUCACUUUAAAAUUCAUUUUAAUAUUAUUUUUUUCGUAGUAUUUAUUUUUUAUCUUCAUUUUUGACUUAUUUCAAACUCAUAUAUGUAUAUCUAUUAUCUUUGCUAAUGUGCAUACAUAUGCAACUUCAUUUAAAUAUAAAAAAUCUAAAAAUAAUUAAAUAUGUAUAAAUCUAAAAAUAUCUUAAAAUUAAAACUAAAAAAUUUUAAACUAAUGCAAAUUUUUAUUAUUUAAAAAAUCUUAAAAUUUUCAAAUUAAAUUCCAUUUGUUUUCCACCGUUGAAGAACACCUUCAAUCACAUUAACAACUUCAUGCUAUUUUGCCUAGAAAUUAUUUUGCAAAUUUAUUUUGUUUUAUUUAUUUCUAAAUCCAUAUUUCUUUUCUGUAACUCCAAUUAUUAGAUUGUUUAGGGUUUUGAGUAACUUUCGAUUUUGGAAUUUUAGAUUUUUAAAUUUAAAUACGAAGUGCUCUUCUUCUUCUCCAAACCCACAAAUUUUCUACCAAAUUUCAACUCAAGGUUUUACUUUCAGCUAUAAAUAAAACAUAUAUUAUAUUUAUAAUGACCUAAGAAUAGUAGAGUCGACGCCGAUCUACAUGAAAAAGGAGGGAAAAAAACAGGCAAAGAAAGAUGAUAUGAAGAGAGCAUAAAUCAAUAAAGCAAAUGAAAAACGAGUAGAAUUAAAGUAAAUGGGUAUUUAAUAUUUUUUUGUGAAAGUUCAAAGACUAAUUAUGUAUGAGCUUGGAUGUGGAAAAAUUAGUUGGAAAUUUUUUUUCUUGCACCAAUUGAUUUUUUUUAUAUAGAAUUUGUAUUUAUUUUUUAAGAUUUUUAAAUUUUGUUACAAUUAUUUUUAUGAAAAUUUGAAAAUAUAAAAAUACUUUUUGAACUAUAAUUCAAGGAUUAAAUUAGCUAUUAAUCAUUUGAAUAAAUAAAACAUAUACAUGAAUUAAGUAAUUAAUCCACAAGCAAUGUUGGACAUUUUCAUAAUGCCAAAUUUCACUUCAGAUUUAGUUACCCAUAAUCAUAUUUAAACAAACAAAAACAUAACAAUCACACAAAAUAGGCAUAACUAGAAAACAUGAGAAAAAUGAGAAAAGCUUGAAAACAAUUACAAUGGUAGCAAAGGAAAUGUAAAAAAAAAAACUUAAAAAUCAGAUUUUUAAUGAUGAAGGGAAUUGAUCAUUUAUAUUAAAACCAAGGAUUAAACUGAAAAUACAAAGAGUUGAAGGUACUAAACUAGCAAACAAACCCUAGCUGCAAUGUUAAUUAACUUAACUAACUACUAUUGGAACCAAGAAAAACUAAAAGAAAACAUGAAUUACACCCUAGAGUUAUGGAGAAGAAAACAAAAACUCUAAAAAUAAAGAGGAAAUUUGAAAACCAUGAAAUGUUAAGUGUGCCUUUUGUUCAGCCAAUUUUUUGCCCUUUCUAGAAUUACAGAUCCAAAAAUAGUGGCCAAAUUGUCCUUGAUCGUUUAAUUUUGGUUAGGGGACAUGUUGGAAACGGAUUACCCAUACGGUUAUAUUUUGUCUCCUCUCAUCAAUGAUAUUGCCAUACCCAAAGUUUGGUAUCGCGAUAUCCACAACAAUCUUGGGGAUCCUUAGGAGUUUUGAGUAUCGCGAUACCUUAUGACUGGUAUCAUGAUAGCACUGUUGAUGGCUCAAUCUUCCUUGUUUUUAACAUUGUUAUGGGUGUUACGACUUUCAAUCUUCCUUAUUUUUAACAUUGUUAUGCAAUACCCUCUUUCUAGGUGACAUUUUCGCUCCUUCCGGGUCACCAUGGGCUCUCUGCAUCACUCACCAAUCACAUUAGAUUCCCCGGGUGCCAUUUGACCAUCUCAGGUCUCAAAAUAGCAUCAAAAUGCACACUAAUCAUUUAUUAAUAUAAAUAACUAAAACUAAAUAAAAACACAACAAAGAUAUCUAAAUUGCUCGAAAAUAAGCUUUUAAGUGUGAUGGAGAGCCUAAUUUGACAUAUCAAUUUACAGCAUGUCAUAAAUAUAAUUUGCGGAACCUUGUUAAAAUUUUGGGUUUCUUUAUUAGUUUUCUUUCAAUAUUCUGUAUGGUACAUUUGUAUUAAUAUAUUGUGCAGAUCAUAGACUAAAUUGCUUUAUUAGUUUUCUAUUGUUAAUCUCACUUUUUAUUAAUUAAGGAAUACGAAUUAGAAUUAAUAUGAAAUUACUAUUUCAACAUUUCAUAAGAAAAAGCUAAAAUAAUAUUUGUCAUAUCCCAUAUGCUCAUAUAUAGCUUGUCGAAACCAUUUUCUUGUAAAAGGGGGGUUGACUUUGGUUUUAAAACGAAAAUUGGAGUCGUCACCGAUUAUUUUUAUGAGGUGUAAUCGGGUCACCUCGUAACGGUUUAAUUUAUAACAAUUUUGGUCUACGAAAUUUAGAAGAAAAAAAGGGGUUCGGGAGUCGGUUACGUACGAGGAAGGAUUAGCACCCUCAUAAUGUCCAAAAUUGGUACCUAAUUGAUUACUUAAUGUCUUAAUGUCGAAAAUUAAAAAUUCGAAAAGAAUUUAAAAUAAGAUCCCUGUUUAUUAAUGUUAUUUAUUUUAAAAGAAUUUGCUUGAAUAAGUUGCAAUGAAUGUCAAAGACCCUCCCGUCUCGAGAUAACUAGUGUCACGUCCCGUAAGUGAGGAUACGACGCUUGGAAACCUAGAGAAUAAGCCUGGCUUUAACUCUUACUGAGAUUUCGUGUGUUUUGAAAUUUAAAAGGAUAUUUUGUUAUUUAGGUUUAACGAGAAAAUCGAAACCUCGUAAGUUAGGGUACGAUUUUUCUCGAAUUUUCAAAACGCAAAAUUUUUUUUUUGAAUUUAAGUAAAAACUAAUGUAAUAUGUAAUAAGAUAUGUGUUUAAUUUAUUCAAACAUCGCCUGAAAGUGAACAAAUAAUUUUAAAAAAAAUGAUGUAUAAUGCAACAUAUUAACUACUACAACGAAAGUGAAAUGCAAUGAAAGUCAUGAAAUCGAAAGAUUAUCGAGACUAAAUUGAAAGUCAUGAAAGAAGACAUAAACAACACCACCAUACAAAAUGUUACACUCAAACAAACCAUUACAGAUAGUACGAAAUGAAAUGGAAAGACACAGGAAUUGGCACAAUAAUAAAGACAGACACAUACAAAUGCAAACCAUAGGCAAAACGGUCUACAGAACAAGAAAUUGUGAAAAUACAACACUAAUUCUUGAACAGCAUUUGCAGUAAUUAGAUCCUUCUUCGCCUAUUGCUUCGAUUGCCUUUAUUUGACUUUCUUCUUCGCCUCUUCUCUUGUUGGUUUUCAACCAAAUUCACCAACCAUUUUGGCUUUCCAGUUUGGAAAACAACAAAUCCCACGGACAUUCCGAACACCACUCCGCAUCCAUAGCCUAUCAACCCCACUUUCCAACCAAAAGCAAUGUUUGAUUUUGAGCCAUCUUUUUCAAGCACAUUUGGAGGUGCUGGCUUAAUGAUGUUGCAACCUUUAGAGACCGGAAAUCCACAUAGUCCCUUAUUUCCUUCAUAUGAAUCAUUUCCAAAUGUGUUGAACUGUUUGCCUUGAGGAAUCUGACCAUGGAGUUGAUUUUCAGAAACAUUGAAGGACGAAAGAAAUGGCAGAUCUACCAAUCUAUUUGGAAUCCUCCCAGACAAACUGUUUGAAGAUAGGUCCAACCAUUCAAGACUUGUCAAAUUCCCUAUUGAGGUGGGGAUACCACCAUUAAGGUUAUUAUGAGAAAGGUUGAGCCCUUUCAGUAAGUUAAGCUUCCCAAAAACCUCUGGAAUACACCCUUCAAACUGAUUGUUUGAUAGAUCAAUGAUCAUCCACAUGGUGAAAAUUUUCACCAAUUCCAUAUAUUGUCCUUUCAUAACAAUUCCGAUGGAAUAGGUAUAGAAGCCGCGACCUCCAGGAUCAUUCACCCCCAUGUACGACUCUAUAAUACCAAUCUUCUCUAGAUUUAUGAUAGCCUUGAAGCUGUUGAUGUAUCUCACUGGUAGGGGUCCAGAAAAAUAAUUACUUGAGAGGUCAAAAAUUUGGACUUUAGAGAAAAAAGGGCUAGACUUGGAGCUAUUGACACAUAAGGAACCACGCAUAUGAUUUGACUUCAAUACAAGAACUUGUAGCUGUGGAAGACUUCCCAACCAAUGAGGAAAUGUAUCAUUGAUCUUGUUGUUACCAAGAUCUAGCACUUCCAGACCAUUACAAUUAAGGAUGGAUGGUGUCAAAGGCCCUUCUAACAGAUUUCCAUUUAAGUUGAAAUUACUCAAUCGGCAUCCCUUUGCAAAUGUUGGAGGAAUCGUCCCAUAGAACUUGUUCUUCUUCAAAUUCAAGAAUUCGAGGCUGUUGCUCAAAUUUCCAAAACAUUGCGGAAUUGUUCCACUCAAGUUAUUGUGGGACAAAUCAAGAAUUCGAAGAGAAGUGACAUUGCAGAUUACAGAAGAGACCUCUCCAUUGAAACUAUUAUUUGAGAUCAGAAAGACAUCGAUCGUGGAAGCUGGAAUCGGAAGAUUUCCACGGAUCAAAUUGGAGCUUAAGUCAAGAACUGCAAUAUUCUUCCACGGGAAGUGCUCAACUUCUGUCAAAGAGUUGUGAGAUACAUUUAAGUAAGUCAAAGAGCCAUUCCCCACCUCUUGCAUCCACUGUGGAAUCUUGCCUUCAAUUUUGUUGCAAGAGAGGUCUAAGCUUUCCAAACUUUUAAGCCCUUUCAAAAAUUGGGGGAAUUCACUAAGAUUGCAAGAUGACAAAAAUAACCUUGUAAGAUUAAUAGUAGAAGUAGUGUUAGAUGUUAAGGAUAGGCUGUUAUAUGAAAGGUCGAGAUAUUUGAGAUUUGGAAGGUUUGAGAACAUGCUAAACUCUAUGACACCACUAAGAGUAUUUGAGGAUAAGCUGAGGCCGGUAAGAUUGAGAAGUUGGGAUAUUGAAGAUGGAAGAGGACCUUGGAGUUUAUUAUUCUCUAAGCGUAUCAAUUCUAGUGAUUUGGAUUGAAAUUCUUUGAUAUGCCCACUGAAUUGAUUUUGAGAGAGAUCUAUUGUCUUUAAGGAGGGAGCAGCAUAUAACCAUGACGGAAGUGUUCCAUUGAGUAAAUUGUCAGAUAAGGCUAAAGAUAUUAGAUUAGGAAAAGCGGUUACGUCAUCUGGAAUGGAACCUUCUAAACAAUUAUUAGAUAUUUCCAAGUAUUCCAGCUGCGUUAGGUUUAGAAUUGACAAUGGAAUUUGUCCACUCAAUUUGUUCCCUGACAAGUCUAAAUAAGUGAGUUGCAAGAGGUUCCCCAAUGAUAUUGGAACCGGUCCUGAUAAGUCGGAAAAGGAGAGAUCUAAAAACUUCAAGGACACAAGAUUCCCCAUCAAGUCAGGCAAUCCUCCAAAAUCAUUUGCGCCUGAAAUUAUCAAUUGCUCCAAAGAUGAUAAAUUUGUGAUUGAGACAGACAAUCCUUGAAAGAAAAAAUUUCCUGAUAGAUCUAAGUACUUUAAGGCCUGUAGAUUAUCAACUGAAUCAAUGAAUUCUGUAGUGGGGGACAUCCACGACAGAUCCAAAUGUUCAAGAUUGUUGCUCCGAUUCAACUUCAAAGGAUCAAGAUUGAGGACUGGGUUGCCUCCCAAGUUGAGGAGAUUGAGGUUUGGCAAUUCAAAAAUGUUUUUUGGGAAUUUUCCUUGCAAAUCACAAUAAGCAAGACUGAGAGACCUUAGAGAAGAGGAUAGAUUCAUGAAGACAUGAGCAUUAACAGAAGACAUGUCCAUUCCAUCCAAAAACAGAUGUCUGACCUCGGAUAGGUUGUGAACAAGUCCCUUCAGAUCAUGUUUGUCAAUUGUAAAUUGCUCAUGGACAUAAAUCAAAGCGGAGAGAUCAAGUGAAACCAAUUUUGACAGGCGGGAGACUUGGGAUGGGACUUCUCCUGCAAACCCUGUACGAGAAAGGUUGAGGUAUAAUAGGCUUGUAAACCGACCGAACUCGGAUGGAAUUCUGGAAAGAUUAAAAUCAUUGUAGGCAAGGUUGAGUUUUUGAAGGUGAGGAAGAAGAAAGAGAGUGGUAUUGGAAGGGAAGUUGCCAUAUAGCCAACUGCAGCUCAAGUCAAGGGCAAUAACAUGAGCAUUUAGGUGGUCACAAGUGACCCCAUCCCAUGAGCAGCAAUCUGUACCCUCCUUCCAUGAAUUUGUCUUGGGAUAAGAUUUAAGGCCAGCAAUCUCAUCGCAAUAGAAAAAAGCAUCCUCUGUCUGAGUGAUGGAAAAAGAAUUCUUGAACUGGAUUAGUGAAGCAGCUUCAGGGUGAGAGCAGGAGUGAGAUCCUGAAGAAGAAGCAUAAAGAUGGGGAAAGAAAAGGAAUAGGCAGAGAAAGAGAUAGGAGGCCAUGUUAUGUCUGUAAAGGAAGAAGAAGGAUAGGAAUGGUAUUUAUAGGCAACAAAUAAUACCACAACAUUGGUGUUACAGUCUUUUUUUUCUUUUACAUUGAAAAGCUAUGGAGAUUAGAUUAUCAAAAUUUUUGCAUUUUUCACAAUCAUCAACAACCACUUAGUCUUCUUUUUACCAUAUAUUUUUCAUUCUUAAAAUUAGAUGCUUGUUUUUUAGCAAAAUCUUGUAUUUCAUUUGAACUCCCUAAACAACUAAAAAAAUUAAGAUUGAUGAGAUUACAAAGUAGAUUGACUUAGUCUUCUUUCCUAUAACACUUAAAGAAUGUCUUGUCAACCAAAAGAAAUGUUUAAUUUUGAGCCAUCUUUUUCAAGCACAUUUGGAGGUGCUGGCUCACUGAUGUUGCAACCUUUCGAGACCGGAAAUCCACAUAGUCCCUUAUUUCCUUCAUACGAAUCAUUUCCAAAUGUGUUGAAUUGUUUGCCUUGAGGAAUCUGACCAUGGAAUUGAUUUUCUGAAACAUUUAAGGACGAAAGGAAUGGCAGAUCUGCCAAUCUUUUUGGAAUCGUCCCAGACAACCUGUUUGAAGAUAGGUCCGACCAUUCAAGACUUGUCAAAUCCCCUACUGAGGUAGGGAUACCACCAUUAAGGUUAUUAUGAGAAAGGUUGAGCCCUUUCAGUAAGUUAAGCUUCCCAAUAACCUUUGGAACUCCCCUUCAAACUGAUUGCUUGAUAGAUCAAUGAUCAUCCACAUAGUGAAAAUUUUCACCAAUUCCAUAUCUUGUCCUUUCAUAACAAUUCCAAUGGAAUAGGCAUAAAAGCCACGACCUCCAAGAUCAUUCACCCCCAUGUACGACACUGUACUACCAACCUUCUCUAGAUUUAUGAUAGCCUUGAAGCUGUUGAUGUAUCUCACUGGUAGGGGUCCAGAAAAAUAAUUACUUGAGAGGUCAAAAAUUUGGAUUUUAGAGAAAAAAGGGCUAGACUUGGAGUUAUUGACACACAAGGAACUAUGCAUUUGAUUUGACUUUAGUACAAGAACUUGUAGCUGUAGAAGACUUCCCAACCAAUGCGGAAAUGUAUCAUUGAUCUUGUUGUUACCAAGAUCUAGCACUUCCAGACCUUUACAUUUAAGGAUGGAUGGUGUCAAAGGCCCUUCUAACAGAUUUCUAUUUAAGUUGAAAUUACUCAAUUGGCAUCCCUUUGCAAAUGUUGGAGGAAUCGUCCCAUAAAACUUGUUCUUCUUCAGAUUCAAGAAUUGAAGGCUGUCGCUCAAACUUCCAAAACAUUGCGGAAUUGUUCCACUCAAGUUAUUGUGGGACAAAUCAAGAAUUUGAAGAGAAGUGACAUUGCAGAUUAAAGAAGAGACCUCUCCAUUGAAACUAUUAUUUGAGAUCAGAAACACUUUGAUCGUCGAAGCUGGAAUCGGAAGAUUUCCACGGAUCAAAUUGGAGCUUAAGUCAAGAAUUGCAAUAUUCUUCCAUGGAAAUCGCUCAACUUCUGUCAAAGAGUUAUGUGAUACAUUUAAGUAACUCAAAGAGUCAUUCCCCACCUCUUGCAUCCACUGUGGAAUCUUGCCUUCAAUUCCGUUGUAAGAGAGGUCUAAACUUUCCAAACUUCUAAGCCCUUUUAAAAAUUGGGGGAACUCACUAAGAUUGCAAGAUGACAAAAAUAAGCUUGUAAGAUUAGCAGUAGAAGUAGUACUAGAUGUUAAGGAUAGGCUGUUAUAUGAAAGGCCGAGAUGUUUGAGAUUUGGAAGGUUUGAGAACAUGCUAAACUCUAUGACACCACUAAGAUCAUUUGAGGAUAAGCUGAGGUAGGUAAGAUUGAGAAGUUGGAAUAUUGAAGACGGAAGAGGACCUUGGAGUUUAUUAUUUUUUAGAUAUAAAUAUUCUAAGGAGGGAGCAGUAUACAACCAUGACGGGAGUGUUCCAUUGAGUAAAUUGUUAGAUAAGUAUAAAUAUUUUAGAUUAGGAAAAGCGGUUACCUCAUCUGGAAUGGAACCUUCUAAUAAAUUUUCUGUUAUAUCCAAGAAUUCAAGCUGGGUUAGGUUUAGAAUUGACAAUGAAAUUUGUCCACUCAAUUGGUUCUGCGACAAGUCUAAAUGAGUGAGUUGCAAGAGGUUCCCCAAUGAUCUUGGAAUUGGUCCACUCAAUUGGUUCUGCGACAAGUCUAAAUUAGUGAGUUGCGAGAGUUUCCCCAAUGAUCUUGGAAUUUGUCCACUCAAUUGGUUCUGUGACAAGUCUAAAUGAGUGAGUUGCAAGGAGUUCCCCAAUGAUCUUGGAAUUUGUCCACUCAAUUGGUUCUGCGACAAGUCCAAAUGAGUGAGUUGCAAAAGGUUCCCCAAUGAUCUUGGAAUUUGUUCACUCAAUUGGUUCUGUGACAAGUCUAAAUGAGUGAGUUGCAAGAGGUUUCCCAGUGAUCUUGGAACCGGCCCUAAUAAGUUGGAAUAGUAUAGAACUAAAAACUUCAAGGACACAAGAUUCCCCAUCGAGUCAGGCAAUCCUCCAAAAAUAUCUGCGCCACUAAUAACCAAGUACUCCAAAGAUGAUAAAUUUGUGAUUGAGACAGACAUUCCUUGAAAGAAAGAAUUUCCUGAUAGAUCUAAGUACUUUAAGGCCCGUAGAUUAUUAACUGAAUCAAUGAAUUCUGUAGAGAAGGACAUGGACGACAGAUCCAAAUGUUCAAGAUUGCUGCUCCGAUUGAACUUCAAAGGAGCAAGAUUGAGGUUUGGCAAAUCAAAAAUGUUUUUUGGGAAUUUUCCUUGCAAAUCACAAUCAGCUAGACUGAGAGACCUUAGAGAAGAGGAUAGAUUCAUGAAAACAUAAGCAUUAACAGAAGACAUGUUGAUUCCAUGCAAAAACAGAUGUCUGACCUCGGUUAGGUUGUGAAUAAGUCCCUCCACAGCAUGUUUGUCAAUUGUAAAUUGCUCAUAGUCAUAAAUCCAACAGGAGAGAUCAAGUGAAACCAAUUUUGACAUGUGGGAGACUUGGGAUGGGACCUCUCCUACAAAUCUGGUAUGAGAAAGGUUGAGAUAUACUAGACUUUCAAACCGACCAAACUCAGAUGGAAUUUUGGAAAGAUUAAAAUCAUUGUAGGCAAGGUUGAGUUUUUGAAGGUGAGGAAGAAGGAAAAGAGUGCUAUUGGAAGGGAAGUUGCCAUAUAGCCAACUGCAGCUCAAGUCAAGGGCAAUAACAUGAGCAUUUAGGUGGUCACAAGUGACCCCAUCCCAUGAGCAGCAAUCUGUACCCUCUUUCCAUGAAUUUGUCUUGGGAUAAGAUUUAAGGCCUGUAAUAUGAUCGCAAGACAAAGAAGCAUCCUUUGUUAUGGAAAAAGAGUUCUUGAACUGGAUUAGUGAAGAGCAGGAGUACUGAGAUCCUGAAGAAGCAUAAAGAUGGGGAAAGAAAAGGAGUAGGCAGAGAAAGAGAUUGAAGGCCAUGUUAUGUUUGUAGAGGAAGAUAAAGGAUAGGAGUGGUAUUUAUAGGCGACAAAAAAAGGGUUACAGUCUUUUUUUAUUUGACAUUGAAAAGCUAUGGAUAUUAGAUUUUUAAAAUUUUUGUAUUUGUCCCAAUCAUCAACAACCACUUCCUUUUUACCAUAUAUUUUUCAUUCUUAAAAUUGGCUGCUUUUUUUAGUAAAAUCAUGUAUUUCAUUUGAACUCCCUAAACAACUAAAAAAUUAAGAUUGAUGAGAUUACAAAAUAGAUUGACUUAGUCUUUUUCCUUAUAACAUGUAAAUAAUGUGAGUGUCUAUUCACUUGCUUGUCAACCAAAGCUAAUUAAUAUGGAAAUUUUUUUGUACACAAAAGAAUAAAAUUGUGCUCUAUUCACUACGUUUAGGGAAGAAGACUGUUGGAAAUUUAAUACACCGAUUUCAUAAAAAAGUGUUUACUUAUAUCUAUAUAUAUAUAUAACCUCAUAAUUCAAAUCUAAAAUCUAAUUUGUUAUAAAUUCUAAUAAAUUUAUUUGGGGCUAGUUAUUUUUUAAUCAAGUAAAAAAUUAAAAUCGAAAACCUCAUUAUUUGUUGACGUGUUUACUUUUAUAUAUAUAUAUAUAUAUAUUUCUCUUUUAAAAAAUUAAAACUAAAAAUAUAUAAUGAUUUAUUUGGCAUUUUUUAACUUUACAAACAAAAAGUCAUUUUAGUUUUUCCCUUUUUUUUUUGUGUGUCUCUUUUAGCCUUGAAACUUGUAUAGUUUGUUAAAUCACCUAAAAAAAUGAUGAAAAAGUUAACAUCUGUAUACUAACAAAACUAGCACUUACGUGGCUGAUGUUGACUGUUAGUAGUUAAUGGCAACACCUAAGUGGCUAUUAACAGAUACCACACCAUUGUUUGUUGACGUGACGAUGCCACAUUAUUAAUAAUCGCUGACAUGGUAGUGCCACGCCAUCGCCCAUCGGUGACAUAUUAACCUUUGAGUUCAAUUCAAAUUUCUCUUUCCUUUGUUAUAAAUUAAGAAUAUAACUAAUUUUGAUGGGAAUGGUAACUUAUCAUUAACUCGGUUUAAAAGACUAUAACAGGUAAAGUUUAGUCCUAUUACUGUCCGUGCCACAUUAAUGUGAGACAUUUACAUUACGCAGAAUUCAAAGCAUAUAUGGAAAUUUUGCAGUAUUGACUAUUGAAUAUGCUCUACUCCACAAAAAAGACUAAGACUGUCAGUUGUCUAUUGACUUCACUUGAUGUUACUUCCUAUCACUCUCACCCAAACUUAAUUUACAAGGAACGUGGAGAUUUCAAACAUUUGCAGCACAAAAUACAAUAAUUCAACACAAUUUGCAGUAUUGACUAAAAGCCAUUAAACAUUCAUUAUUGAUUGCAAUUAUAAUUAUAACAUCAUUAAAAGAAACAUAUUAUUUUAAUUUAUUGCUUAAAAAUUCAAAGCGAACGUGGAAAUAUUUCAUGGGUUGGCACUAAAUGUGUGUCAUUUUCUAUUAAUUGCAAGAAAACUACUCGGGAAACUGCAUUUUUAUGGAAAAUUUUUUACUAUAAUGACUUAUUUUGUCCUCUAACUUUAUUUAAGAGAUUAUUUUAGUCCUCUAUUUAAUUUCGAAUAGUUGCAGAACAAAGUCCAAUAACUCCAUACAAAAUAACAACAAUUUGCAAUAUCGACUACGUUUACUCGAGAGGUAGAUAGAUGUGCAGAGGGAAAAAAAAAGACAUGGUUGCUGGAAAUUCUACCUUGUUUGUACAGUCGACUAAAGGCCAUUAAGGACAUCAAUUCCUCUAAUUAGAUAAUACCAAAUGGGAGACCAAUUAGGUUUACUCUUUAAACUUUUAGUCUCAUAACACCAUCAUUGAUUAGUGUCAAAAGUAACAUAUUUUAACCUCAUUCUUAGUACAUUGUUAAGUGAUUAUGUGACAUUAAUUGUGAAUUAUAUGCUUCUAAUCCUUUAUAAGAAUGGAAGCAAGAAGCUACAAGAGGAGAGCACAAAAUUACUUUGAGAACACCAUUGAAGCCUAUUUCCAAGUAAUUUUUCAUCAAGAUUUAAGAGUCUAAGUUGAUUUUAAAGAGAGUUAUCAUGGAUUUUUUUUUUAUUGUAGUGGUUAUAUUGUAUUUUUUUUGUGUUUACUCUUACCAUUAUGAACUGAUUCUCUUAAUACUUAGGGGAGAUGAACCUUAGAAUGAAUUCUAUUAUUUGAUUUAUAUUUUUAUGCAAUAAAAUCUUAGUCUCUUUGUUUUCAAUUAUGAAUGUUCUGUUAUUCUUGGGUUAAUAAUUCUAGAGUGUUAAUUCAUGUUUGAUGAGCAUAAGUCUGGGGUUGAAUAAACCCUUCUUGUGAUUAGAUCUUGCAUAAUUGAAUUGAGUUGCAUGCAAUUCUAUAAAUAAAACGACAUAAAUCUAUCAGAUUAAAGUCAAAUCUAAUUAGUGUAAUUGGAAAGUCAAAUGAUGUAUAUCACAAACGAGAAAUUCUAAUUAGUGUAAUUGGUAUUAUCAAAUGAUGACUUCAAAUGUUGAUCAUCCUCGACCACAAACUAUCUAAGUUUGCAGUGUGAAAGCAGCUACUUCCAUUACAGAAACCUUUCACUGUAUAUUGACUUGGUCUUAUUUCCUAUAACACCUCAUGUUUGGUCAUAGAUGGUGGAAGAUAGUAGAGACUCGAUACAACACACCAUUUGCACCUGCAAUUAAGCUUCUUUAAAAGGAAAUGGGAUCCACCAAUUUUACCUAAACUCACAUCAACAUUGUUAUGGGGCUUUUCAUUUCGUGAAGCACCUAAUAUUUGUCUCAACGUGUUUACUGGUUCCUCAAUUUCACAUCAAUGCAUUCAAUUUCAAAAUAGAUUAAGUUGUUUGGUUCAAAUACCAAGACUGCCAACAUCUAUUGACUUCACUUGGUCCGGCUUCCUCUCACUGUCAACCAAACUUAAUCGAGAAGUACUAAGGAAAUUUCAGUCAUUUGCAGCGUAAUGUACAGGAACUCCACGCCCACAAAAUAAUUUAUAAUAUUUUGGAUGGAUGUUGCGUUUACUUACGACUAGUGUAAAAAUAAUGGUAGCGGUGAGAUUAGGUAUUGUAGCAUGAGACCAAAAGUAAAUUAAACACACCACACCGCACUCAAUCGCCUAUCCGAAUUCACCCUAAGUUUGAUGUGCUGAGAAAAAAAAAGCAUGAAUGAUGAAGAAUUAAAGCCAAUACUUGGUAAGUACCCUAAUUAGUUUACAAGUAAAUAUUCUUGUACUAAUUAUUCAGGCAAACCUUAGCCAAUAAUAAAAAAUAUAUAAUGAUCUAUUAGGUCCUCCAACUUUAUAAAAAAGAAUCAUUUUAACUCAGGGGCAUAAUUAGGGGUUGACAAGGGCCUGCCUGAAAUUACAAUUUGGCCCUCCCUAAAAUUGAUAAAAAUUUGAUUUAAUUAUUUAAAAAAUAUAAAGAUAUAGAGUAUUAAAAUGGUAAAAUUGCAUUUUUACUGUCAUAAAUAUUUAUAAUUUAAUUUCGGCCCCCUAAAAAAUUUUCUGGCUUCUCCCAUGUUUUAGCCCUUCAUUUAAUUUUUCAUCUUUUUUAGCCCUUUAAUUUGUAUUAUUUGACAAUUCACCUCAAAAAAGAUAGAAAAGUUAAUAUUUAUUAACUUUGUUGACGUGACAUCCACAUGACAGUACAUGUGUAUGUAACGUCAACAAUCAAUUAAUUUUUUAAAACUUAAAAAUAUUUUUUAAUAAUUUUUGAAUUUUAAAAAUUAAUUAAUUAUUAAUGUGGCAUUCAUAUGACAAUCCACAAAAAUUAAUUAAUAAUUGAAAGUUGCGUUACAUUAAAAUUAGUUUGUUAGAAUGGAAUUCUAAUAAAUUUAUUUGGGAAUGAUUACUUUUCGUUAAAGUGGAGUCAAUAUUACUUGGUUAACUAUUUCUCUUUUAGCCAACUACAAAAUUCAAGUCCAUUACAAAAUUGUAGAGGGACUAAAUCCCUAAAAAUAAAAUGUAUAGAGAUUAAACUUUAAAUUUACAAAGAGUACAAGAAAUUUGAAUAUAUUACAACUAUUAAAUUUUCCCUCUAUAAUUUAGUUAAAAAUAAAUAAAUAAUUCCCUCAACGCCAAACGUGGAUAAUAAACAUACUAGUUUAAUGUAUAUAUUUGGUACACUUUUUUUUUAGUAAGAGCAUAUCACCACCAUGUCAGCAAUUUUAAGAUGAUGUGGUAGUGCCACAUAUUACUAUUUCUCUUUUGGCUAACUAGAAAAUUAAAAUAGAAAAAAAGAUGAUCUCAUUUCGAAAGACUAUAAGACGUAAAAGUUUGGUCCAACACUGUUAGCGUCUAUUGACUUCAACUGCUUUUACUGUUUGUGUCAACCAAAUUAGAUAACCUGCAAGCAGUGUAGGACAUCUGCAUAAUGCAAAAUUUUACACAAAUAAUAUGAAAUUUUUGCAAUAUUUGACUGUAUACAUUUACUCGAGAAAACUGCGAUUAGGUGAGAAAUUUUCACAUUCAUGCAUUGAAGUUCGAGAUACCUUUAGAAUUUAUUGAAAAAUGGUAAUUUUUAGAAAAUUUGAGGCAUAUUUGUGAUUGGUAAAUGUGGAGAGUUGAAUCAUAAAAUUAUGAGACCUUUAUAAUGGUAAUCUUCUUGUGAAUUGUGUUGAGAAAAAUGAGAAGCAUUAGUCUCAUGCUGGUUGAGAAUUAAGUGUGGGACUUAUAUAUAUAUAUAUAUGUAUGUAAAUCAACUUAGUAGCUAUUUAAUGACUAAAGCUUGAAACUCUGUCUCAUGCGCAAUUGGGGUGCAAAUCUAAACCCAUCGGGGUUGGGGCAUACCCGCACGACAUGGGUGACGCGAAAUGUCCGGACCAAUAGGGCCCAAGAAUGGCAUGCAGAUAUUUUAGCCCAAUACAAAAGAUAUUAUACAGAAUUUGUUUAAAAGGACAAAUAUAUCAAUUUGAUUUUAUUUGAUUCAAAUUGAUUUAAAGGCUCCUCAAAUUUUAUUCAAAUUUAUCUCAGGAUACACAACGAAUUUUCAAACAUUUCGGUGAUAGAAUAAGGCAAUGUUUGUUCGUUGAUCACUACAUAGGUACUACUGCUGCGAUUAUUUUGUUGUUGUAUCCUGAGAGACAGAUGACUAACGCUUCUCCAAUUGUCAUAAGAACGACCAAAUCUAUCUUAAGAAAACUAUGAAAGCAGGUCUCAACAUCUAAUAAAACUCAAUUCCCUUAUUUUAUUUUUGAUUUUUUAAAAUCUUGUUUAUUUAAUUAUUUUUAGAUCUAAUGUUUUAAAUAAAUAUUUAUUUAAUUUGUUUUAUUUAGAUCUAGUAUUUUUACAUAAAUAUAAAUAUUUGUUUAUAUUAUUUGUUCAGAUCGUGCAUUUAAUAUUUAUAUUUAUUCGGUAACGUAUUUUCUCCAACAAAUUUAUCUUUAUAGUGGAUCCACUUUUUGAAUUAUAUUAACACUGCAAAUUAUUCUGAUGAAUCUUAUUGAAAAUUGUUCUUUUGAUGAAAUUGUGGGUCAAUGUUGUUUCGUAAUUUCUCUUUUAACCCAUAUAUAUAUAUAUAUAUAUAUAUAUAUAUAUAUAUCUAUGCAAUGCUAUUGUAUAUAUUAUUGUUACUCAAAUAUGAUGAUAGAUCUAUCGGUUUGGGACAUCCUAUUAUUUUACCUAGAAAUUUUUAAAUUAAAAAAAAAAUAGUUACAUGGAUGGAUUGAAGUUAAAAAUGAGUGACAUCCUCAAUUAAUAUCAAGACUAGAGCAUAAAAAUUAAAAGAUUAUAUCGUCCCUAAGUGUGUAUAAAUUAAUAACACUUUAAAAAUUUUGAGCAAAUACCAGGCCCAAACUGUUAACCUAUUACCUAAACUGUAACAUCUUGAUUUUGUGUCUAGUAGGAACAGUAGUCGAGAGACCACAAAUCCGACAUCAAAAUAUUUUUUUAUUAUUUUUAUGUCUAUAGUAUGAUACUAAAGUUGUGUGAAAUUUUCAUAAAGAAAUUUCUUCGUUUGAGUACUCAAUUUGAUAAAAAGAACUAAAUCGCGUAAGGUGCAAAACUUGAGGUCUAAUUGAUAAAGGCACUAAAUAGUUAUAGAAUUGAAAAGUAUGGGCACUUGCAUGGAAAUUAUACCAAUAAAAAAGUGAGGAGACAAAGAUGGACAUGUAGUAGAUGGAUUUGGUGAAGUUACUAAAAGUUAAAUUGGUAAAUAAGUUAAUAGGAUAAUAAGACAAAAUAGCAAAAGCUAUCAUCUUUAUUUUUCUUCUUCUUCAACCGUAAUAGAAAAAAAUGGAGGGUUUCAUUUGGCCAAGCUUUGGAGCUUAUGUGAGUGGUUUUUGCCCCGUUUUUAAUGAUUUCUAUGUUUUUGGAGUUGUGGUAACUCGAUUUAGCUAUCUCGUACCUUCAUUUUCAAAACUGUUAAAGUUUGUAAAUUUUGCCAUGGUUGAUAAAGUGUGUAUUUUGAUAAUUGAUGAUAGAAAAUACAUCCUUGUUGUUAGAUAAACAACAUUUGUAAAGACCACAGGCAGUGGAAACAACAAGAAGGCCAUAGCCAACCAACAAAACACGAGAACGACCCAGAUGCUAAAAAAAAAAAACACAUGAAUUCCAACAAUUGCAUAACCCCAAUUUCAACACCAAUUAGUUUUACUCAACUCUAAUCUGUAAUUACACUCAUUGUUGAAAUACCAUUACAAUAGAUAAAGACAUAUAACUAAAUUGGUCGAGGCAAAACAUUACACACACUUAAAAAUUAGAUAUAUGCUUGAACAUGGUGAAAAUUCCAAUAACCUUUGGAAUCUCUCAUUCAAACUUAAUAUUUGAGAGAUCAAUGAUGGUCCACAUGGUGAAAAUUUUCAUGAAUUCCCUAUCUUAUAUAUCCUUUAAUAACAAUUCCAAUUGUUGAGAUUUAUGAUAGCCCUAAAAUUGUUGAUGCAUCUCACUGGUAGUGGUCCAGUAAAAUAAUUACUUCGAAAGUUUGGUCCAAGACUGUUAGCGUCUAUUGACUUCAACUGCUCUUGCUUCCUCUUACUGUUAGUUUUCAACCUAAGAAUCUACAAGCAACCAUGCAGAAUUCCACACAAAUAAUAUGAAAAUUUUGCAGUAUUGACUAUAUACAUUUACUCGAGAAAAGCUGAGAUUAUAGGCUUGGAGAUCCUAAUUUUUACUAUUUAAAAUAUUUGUUACCUGAUCUAUUUAAAAACAAAAAUUCUUUUUCAUAUCACUGUGAAAUUUGUGAAUUGGCUAAACAACACCGGUCAUUCUUCCCACCUCAAAAAUAUAAAGCUUCCAAACCUUUUUCGUUAAUUCAUAGUGAUGUUUACGGACCUUCAAGAGUCUCAAUUUUUUUAGGAAAACGUUGGUUUGUCACAUUUAUUGAUGAUCAUACUCGCAUUUGUUGGGUGUUUCAAGAGUCUCAACUUUUUCAAGAAAACGUUGGUUUGUCACAUUUAUUGAUGAUCAUACUCGCAUUUGUUGGGCGUUUUUAUUAAAAGAUAAGUCUGAAGUUAAAAAUGUGUUUCAGUCUUUUUAUGCUAUGGUGAAAACACAAUUUUGUGUGAAAAUAGAAGUACUUCGAAGUGACAAUGGUGGGGAAUUUUUUAGUAACCAAUUAGGUGUCUUCUUAACCAAACAUGGUAUAGUCCACCAAAGCUCUUGUACAAAUACACCACAACAAAAUGGGUUUGCAGAAAGAAAAACCGACAUAUUUUGGAAGUAACUAGAGCCUUGAUGUUCACUAGUCAGAUACCACAUUAUCUUUGGGGUGAACCCGUGUUAACUGCUACAUAUCUUAUUAAUAGAAUGCCUAGUAAAACUCUAAACUAUAGAACUCCUUUCAGUCUCUUUACAGAUAACUUUCCUAACUCUAAAUUGACCACAGAUUUAUCCCUCCGAGUUUUUGGGUGUAGUGUUUUUGUCCAUCUUCACAAUCAAGGUAAACUAGAUCCUAGAGCAAAAAAUGCUUUUUUGUUGGCUAUGCUUCUAGUAAAAAGAGUUACAAAUGUUACAAUCCAAUUGAUUGGAAGAUUAUUGUUACCAUACCUUAUGUUCAUGAAUUCUCAUCAUCACAUGUUUAUAAAUGCAACUCAAACUUGAAUAAUUGAAUAUUUUGUAAUUCUACAUGUAUUUUUUUUAUGGUGAGCAGUAUAAUGUUCACUAAAAAUUGAAAUUCAAGAAAGAAGACAUACAUAGUUGCACCAUACAAGAUGUUACACUCGAACUAAACCCUUACAAAUAGUACAAAUUGCAAUGAAAUACAGAGGAAUUGGUACAAUCAUAAAGACAGACACAUACCAAUGCAACUUUUCACCAUAGGAAAAACUUUCUGACAGACUACUAAACAAGAAAUUAUGAAGACACAGCAGAAAGGCUUUAACUUCAUUUGCACCAACUAGAUCCUUCUUCAUCCAUUGAUGCGAUUGCUAUAUUUUGGUUUUCUUCUUCGCCUCUUCUCAUGUUGGUCUUCAACCAAAUUCACAAACCUUUUCGCCUUACCGGUUUGGAAAACAACACAUCCCAUGGCCAUUCCAAACACUACCCCGCAUCCAUAACCUAUCAACACCACUUUCCAAUCAAAAGCAAUGUAUCGAAAUGGGGUGGGCAAUGGUCGACUCAAAAGCGGCACACAGAGGGUAGAUUUUAGGGUUGGUUAGAUUUUUUUUUAGAAAUGGAGUGUCUGCUAAUAUUUAGGGUUUAUGUUGAGUUAUUUAUGGCGUAUGAAACGACGACGUUUGACGCCAUUUCAGUGGUUUCAAAACGGCGUCGUAUACGGCCGAGAUUCGUGCGGUGACUCGACCCGGGGAGGAUCCGUGUGUUUUCACAUUGGUGGGAUAUCUGUGCUCUAGGUCCUCAAUAUUUGCACUUUGUUUUAAUUCGGUUUCUUUUGAUUCUUCAAAUUGGGCUUCAUAAUUUCUUGCUGACUUCAUUUUAGUCCACUUGCAGCGCUGCGUUUUGGUGGGCAAGGAAUAUUUCCUAUUUUAGUCCCCCAUGUUAUUCAUGAUUUGUAAUUUGGGUCCUUUCCUUUUAUUUAUUUUAGAUUUUUCCCCUGAAUUACUGCUUUAAUGCCAAUUUAGUUCUUUGUUUGUUAUUAUUGCUAUAGAAUUAUUUAGUUUGUUAUUAUUGGUGUUACUAUUAUUAGUUUAUAUAUUUACUUAUUUUUAUGCAUGUACAUUAUUUUAUUAUGUAGUCUUAUUUUAAUUAUUUUUUUAUCUAAUGCAUUAGUAUAUAUUUUUAUGUUAAUUCAAUAUUAUCUAUACAUUUUUAAUGAGUUUAUUUUUAUAAUACAUUUUUCUUAAAAUGUUUAUUUAUAUAUACUUUUGUGCUUUAAAAAUCAAUAAUAUUUUUAUAUAAUACUAUUUUAUAUAUAUAUAUAAUUUGUAUUAAGUUUUUUUAUUAUACAUAUAUAUACCUAAUAUAUCAUCGAUUUCAUAUUUACGUAUUUUUUUACUUAUUUCAUCAUUUAAAACUUUACUUUAUUAUAAACUUGAUUUAUAUCAACCUUUUAUACAUACAAUUAUACAUAUAUUAUUAUAAGAAAUUUUACAAUCCAUAUGUAAUAUUUAUUUAAAUUAAUAUGUAUAUAUUAUUUCAUGUAUUUCGGUUUUCUUCAUAUACAAUACUCACUUUAAAAUUUAUUUUAAUAUUAUUUUUUUCAUAGUAUUUAUAUUUUAUCUUCAUUUUUGACUUAUUUCAAACUCAUAUAUGUAUAUUGUUUAUUUUAAAAUUUUACACAUAGAACUCAUUUUUUGUAUUGAUAAUUUUAAAUUUCCUUGUGUAUGUUUUUUUAUUUAUUCUAAAACUUGUUACAUUUUAUUUGUGUUAAUCUGCUUGUUUCUUAGUUUUUUUAUUAGCUUUUAAAUAUUAAUGUUGAUAUUUACGUGUGAUGUAAGAUUAUUGCCCUAAUGUGUAUUGUAUUGCUUAUUUGUAUUCAUUAGUAUACAUUUUGGCUUAUGAAUUAUCAUUUCACGUUACAUUAUCAUUCCAUCAUUUUUUUUAAAAAGGGGAUUACGUUUAAUUUAAGCACUAAAAUCGAUUUAUCCAUAAGAUAACGCAAUACUCGGCAUUUGAGAUCUUCGAGCAGAUUGAGUCCUAACGUAUUGGGUUCCAAUUUUCCUUGUUGAAUCUAAAUAAUCAAGAAUAUUCUUUAAUCAAAACACAUAAAUAAAAAGCUCAUUCUCGGGAAUUUGAUACGUUGUGUCCUAACGCAUUGGAUAUGGCAUAUUGUUUUCUCGAGAUGAGGAUUUUUUUCUAAAAAAUAAUAAAGGCAAUAUUCAAUGUUUGGAAUUUUGAGAAAUUGUGCCCUAACGUAUUUGGUUUCGAUAUUUCAUCUGACUUAAACAAUUGAAUAUCCUUUUUAAACUUCACUGCAUGAGUUUUAAAAAAAAAUCAAAAGACAAGCUCAUUUUUGAGGAUGCGAAACAUCACAUCCUAACUCAUUGGAUGUGACAUUCUAUCUCCCAAAAUGAAGGGGGUCUUAGCACGCAUUUUGAUUACAUUUGAGCUCCCUAAACAACUAAGAAAAUUAAGAUUGAUGAGAUUACAAAGUAGAUUGACUUAGCCUUCUUCCUUAUAAUACGUAAAGAACGUGAGUGUCUAUUCACUUAGUAUGUAUGGCCGUCAAGCAAUGUAGAAAUUCGCACACAAAAGAACGAAAUUGUGCACUACUUAAAAAUUCAAAGCAUGUGUGACCUAUAUUCAUUUAUUUUAUUGCAUAAAAUUCAAGGCAUGUAUGUUGAAUAAUUUUAUCCAAGAAGCAUAUUUUCCACAAAACUUUAAUUUGUUGCCAUUAAAUAUGUCAUUUUCUAUUAACGGCAAAAAAACUAUCCGGUAAACCGCAUCUUUUUCUUUAGAUGAAAUUUUGUAAAAAAAAUUUGACAUUAUCACUAAUAUGGUCCUUCAAUUUUAUUUUUUUUAAAAUCAUUUUAACUCUCGAUUUAAUAUUUCGCCUCUUUGAGCUUUUAAAUUUGCGUUAUUUAUCAAAUUAUCUCAAAAUGGAUGAAAAAGUUAACAUUUGUUAAUUUUAUUGACGAGACAUACAUAUCGAUAUCAUAUAAACAGUUAAUUGAUUUUUUUAAAAAUUUUUAAAAAUAAAGCAUAUAUUAAAAUUUUCUAAGAAAUAAUGACCAAACUUGGAACAAUCGCAGAAGAAUGUCCAAUAAUUCCAAACAAAUUAACGCAACAUUUUAGUUAUUGUCUACUGUCCAAUAACGCCAUGUGUAUUAGUACAAACAUUCAUUAAACCUAAUUUAAUUUUAGCCCUUAAUUUAAUUUUUCAUCUUUUUUUAGCCCUUAAUCCACAUUGUUUAUCAAAUAACCCUUAAACUUACAUUGUUAUCAGAUGAAAAAAUUAAUAUAUAUCUAUUAACUUUGCUAGCGUGCAUAUAUAUGCAACUUCAUUUAAAUCUAAAAAAUAUAAAAAUUUAUUAAAUAUGUAUAAAUCUAAAAAUUUCUUAAAAUUAAAACUAAAUUUUUUUAAACUAAUGCAAAUUUUUAGUAUUUAAAAAAUCUUAAAAUUUUUAAAUUAAAUUCCUUUUCUUUUCCAGCGUUGAAGAACACCUUCAAUCACAUCAACAACUUCAUGCUGUUUUGCCUAGAAAUUGUUUUGCAAAUUUAUUUUGUUUUAUUUAUUUCUAAACCCAUAUUUCUUUUCUAUAACUCUAAUUAUUAGAUUGUUUAGGGUUUUGAGUAACUUUCGAUUUUGGAAUUUUAGAUUUUUUAAAUUUAAAUACGAAGUGCUUUUCUUCUUCUCCAAACCCAUAAUUUUUUCUGCCAAAUUUCAACUCAAGGUUUCACUUUUAGCUAUAAAUAAAACAUAUAUUAUAUUUAUAAUGACCUAAGAAUAGUAAAGUUGACGCCGAUCUACAUGAAAAAGGAGGAAAAAAAAAACAGGCAAAGAAAGAUAAUAUGAAGAGAGCAUAAAUCAAUAAAGCAAAUGAAAAACAAGUAGAAUUAAAGUGAAUGAGUAUUUAAUAAUUUUUUUGUGAAAAACGAGUAGAAUUAAAGUGAAUGGGUAUUUAAUUUUUUUUUUUGUGAAAGUUCAAAGACUGAAUAUUUAUGAGCUUGGAUGUGGAAAAAUUAGUUGGAAUUUUUUUUUUCUUGCACCAAUUGAUUUUUUAUAUAAAAUUUGUAUUUAUUUUUUAAGAUUUUUAAAUUUUGUUACAAUUAUUUUUAUGAAAAUUUGAAAAUAUAAAAAUACUUUUUGAACUAUAAUUCAAGGAUUAAAUUAGCUAUUAAUCAUUUGAAUAAAUAAAACAUAUACAUGAAUUAAGUAAUUAAUCCACAAGCAAUGUUGGACAUUUUCAUAAUGCCAAAUUUCACUUCAGAUUUAGUUACCCAUAAUCAUAUUUAAACAAACAAAAACACAACAAUCACACAAAAUAGGCAUAACUAGAAAACAUGAGAAAAAUGAGAAAAGCUUGAAAACAAUUACAAUGGUAGCAAAGGAAAUGUAAAAAAAAAAAAAAAACACUUAAAAAUCAGAUUUUUAAUGAUGAAGGGAAUUGAUUUAUACUAAAACCAAGAAUUAAACUAAAAAUACAAAGAGUUACAGGUACUAAACAAGCAAAUAAAUCCUAGCUACAAUGAUAAUUAACUUAAUUAACUACUAUUGGAACCAAGAAAAACUAAAAGAAAACAUGAAUUACACCCUAGAGUUAUGGAGAAGAAAACAAAAACUCUAAAAAUAAAGAGGAAAUUUGAAAACCAUGAAAUGUUAAGUGUGCCUUUUGUUCAGCCAAUUUUUUGCCCUUUCUAGAAUUACAGAUCCAAAAAUAGUGACCAAAUUGUCCUUGAUCGUCGAAUUUUGGUUAGGGGACAUGUUGGAAAAGGAUUAGCCCUACGGUUAUAUUUUGUCUUCUCUCAUCAAUGAUAUUGCGAUACCCAAAUUUGGUAUCGCGAUAUCCACAACAGUCUUGGGGAUCCUUGGGAGUUUUGGGUAUCGCGAUACCUUACGACCGGUAUCAAGAUAACACUAUUGAUGGCUCAAUCUUCCUUGUUUUUAACAUUGUUAUGGGUAUUACGACUUUCAUGCUUUGAUAUGCGAUACCCUCUUUCUAGGUGACAUUUUUGCUCCUUUCGGGCCAUGAUGGGCUCUCUGCAUCACUCACCAACCUCAUUAGAUUCCCCAGGUGCCAUUUGGCCAUCUCAGGUCUCAAAAUAGCAUCAAAAUGCACACUAACCAUUUAUUAAUAUAAAGAACUAAAACUAAAUAAAAACACAACAAAGAUAUCUAAAUUGCUCGAAACUAAGCUUUUAAGUGUGAUGGAGAGCCUAAUUUGACAUAUCAAUUUACAGCAGAUCAUAAACAUAAUUUGCGGAACCUUGUUAAAAUUUCGGAUUUCUUUAUUAGUUUUUCUUUCAAUAUUUUAAACGGUACAUUUGUAGUAAUAUAUUGUGCAGAUCAUAGACUAAAAUGCUUUAUUAGUUUUCUAUUGUUAAUCUCUUUUUUUUCUUAUUAUUAACACCACUUCCUUUUUACCAUAUAAUUUUUAUUCAUAAGAAAGAAGUGAAAUAAUUAGAAUGAAUGAGAUUACAAAGUAUAUUGACUUGGACUUGCUUCCUUUAUAUGUAUGAAUGUGGAAAUUGGCAUAAUGCCAACUUAUUUUCCACGCAGAAGAAGAAAAUGGUGCUCUAUUCACUCAGUUUCUAACAACACCAUAAUAACAACACCAAUUUGAACUCCCUAAAGAAAGAAGAAGUGAUGAGAUUAGAAAGUAUAUUGACUUGGUCUUGCUUCCUUUAUAUGUAUGAAUGUGGAAUUUGGCAUAAUGCCAACUUAUUUUCAACGCAGAAGAAGAAAAUGGUGCUCUAUUCCCUCCCUUUAACUUAGCAACUAAGGUCUAGCAAACAAGGCCACAUAUGACUUAGAUAUAUAUAUAUAUAUAUAUAUAUAUGGUCCCUAAGUGUGUAUAUAUUAAUAUAUUUUAAAGUAGACAAACUUAUGCCUUAAAAGUUGAAUAAUAGUAUCUAAGAAACAAAUUUUCCACCAGACUGAAAAUUUUGUAUUGCUUGGAAUUAAUUGACUGUCAUUUUCUAUUACUUGCUAGAAAUAUAUUGUAUUGCUUUAAAUUCAAACAAGAAAUAGGGGAAAUUUCACAUCAAUGCAUUCACUUCACUUGGUCAACUUGAUCGACUAGCAGGAAGGAAAUUUCAGUCAUUUGCAGCAUCAGAAUUCCACACCCUCAAAAUAAUUUGCAAUUUCAAAAAUAGAUGAAUUAGUGUGGUUCAAAUACCAAGACUACAAUAUCUAUUCACUUCACUUCGUCUUUAUUACUCACACAGAAUUUAUCAUCAUCAUCAUCAUCAUUAUAUUACUCUUUUAUUGUUAUUUUUUAUUUUUUUCUUGUUACUUUUAUUUGUUAUUAUUAUUAUUUUUAUACUUUCAUGUUUUCUUUUUCAUAUAUUCCACCUUUUAUUUGUUUAUUUAAUUCUUUUACUUAAUUAAUAUUAGAUUUUAUUAGUUGAUGUUAUUACUUAUUUAUUGUUUUUGAUAUAUCAUCGCUUCGUUAAUAUGCACCAUCAUUUUAUUAUUGUUACAAUUACGUCACGAGCCGUUUUAAAUGUAUUCAUGCUUUUCUAAUAUGCCCCGAAUAAAUUAAAUACCUACCGUUUUAAAUAUUACAUUAACUUUUAUGCGAUACCUAAAAAACGAAUUUUUUUUUUACCAAGACAAAUGUUUGUUAUUUCAAAUUUAGAAAAAUCAUGUUCUAACUUACGGAAUAUGGUUUCCUUCUAAAAUUGAGAUAAUUGAAUAUAUUUUAAAAUAAAUAUUAUUUUUUUUGCAUUUGUUCUCGUUUUCGGGAUUUAAGGCAUGGUGUCCUAACUUACGGAACGUUAUCCUUUUUCCCAAUUAAUUUGAAAUAAAUCCAUUUUUGUGAAAACAAAAUUAAGUAAUAUUGUAACGAAGGAUCGUAUUUUAAAAUCUCUUCAAAUUCUCAAUUUUUGACACUAAGACAUUAAUUAAUUAAUCAAUUAGGUACUAAUUUUGGGCGGUACGAGGGUGCUAAUCCUUCCUCGUACGUAACCGACUCUCGACCCAUUUCCUGGAUUUUUGUAGACCAAAAAUUGUUGCUUCAGUAAAUCAAAUCUUUUAUUAAAACGAUUAAAUUGGAAAGUGAUCCGAUCACACCUAAUAAAAAGGAUUGGUGGCGACUCCCAUUUUCGUUUUCAAAAUAAAAGUCGACCCUUUUCAAAAAUAGUUUCGACAAUGUGUAACAAGUAUUUUUAUUAAUCCAUUUGGAACAAGAUUUUGUUGUCUAAUGUUAAGGUUUGCUGGAGCAAAUAAAUUGAUUAAUGCUUUGAACUUUCCCAAACACUUUUUAUAGUUUUGUUAUAUGCAUUUUGUAUAAUUAGUAUAUUUGAAUAUAUUAGAUACAUUGUCUAAAACAAUGUCAAUUGUAAUUUUUUAUAUUUUAUUGAUCAUAAGCUUAUUAUAUAAAUAAUAUUUUUUUAAAAAGAUGGAGUGAUACAUUUACGUAGUGCUUAUGAAUAUAAUGUUGGAUUAAAAUCCUUAAUUCUGAGUACAUAUGUAUAAUGCUUGAAAUUACAAUUAUCUUAAUAAUUUUGUUUCUGUUUUUGUUGAUUGAUGAUUAUAAAAAUCAUUAUUCUUCUGAAGGCAUGCUUUGUUGUCAAUGACAGUACCUGCACCCUAGAAAAAUCACCAGCUUUAACAACUGUAAGAGUUGUCCUGCCUGACAUUUACUAAAAAAUCACCAGGAAGCACAUUGUCAGGAGAUCCUUGCUGGAAAAAACUUGGUAGGAUGGUUUCUUUUUCUGCAAACUUAGGAUUUCAAUUGAUGUUGAUGCAACAUUUUAGAUCAAGGAACUUGCAAGCCUAUUAUGGUAGAAAUGUUUUAUCCAAAUGAUAAAGAUGUUGAUGCAACAUUUUAGAUUGCAAAUUCCUUGAUCACAUUUGGAAUCCUAAUCACAGGGACUUGCAAGCCUAUUAGCUCCAGGAACUUUAGAUUGUACCUGUUCAAAACAUUUUUUCAAAGAAGGAACCAUAGGUGAAAGGCGUCUAUUCUGGUUCAUCUCAUUGAAUACAUCAAAUGAAGGAUCAAUACGCUGAAAAAGGGACAAUGGAAAGAACUUUAGCCAACAACUUGAAUUUUAUAACUACUCCUAUGCCAACCAGCAAACCAUAACAGCGUGUACAUAAAAAAGAGGAUGCUGACUUACAAUUCCUUUCAUUUCACCACAACCAAUCAAAUCCCUUGCAAUGCUGUUUGGAUCACAGCAGCUCAUCUUUCAAUCCUAGAUGGCUCCGCCAAUUUUUUGAAAGCAUACAUAAACUGUUAAAGAAAUAAAUGGAUAAAACACCUACAGGAUAGAAGGCUGAAAAAUUACAAAGGGCAAUGACCUUAUUGUUAAAAUUCCAACGUCCAUUCCUUGGAAAGAUAUCUUACACCAUUGCCCACUCAAGAGAACUCAAAUAGCAGCAAGAUCUAGUAUAAAAUGUAACUCUCAACAACAUACACAAAUGUUUGUUCUAUCAAGGAACAACAUACACAGACAUAUUCACCUACCCUUGGUGCUGGCAGAAUAUGCCCAUUCACUUGGGUGAAAUUAGAGUUGAUAUUAACCCCACAAGAUUUCAGCACCAUAAUUACUGCUAAGUAAAACCUGCACAUAAAUUUUCAGCGCUAUGUAUACAUUGUGUCACUUGCAUCCAAAUCAAAUAUUUCGGGCUACAGAGUUUCAUAGAUAUGACGAAGGUAUUAUCGGGGGAUUGUACCAUGUAUACCUGACACGAAGGACCUACGACUAUGGGAGAUCUCAAGCACUUCGUUUUCCAUGCGCACAUGCAAUUGCUGCAUGUGCCUCAACAUGUCUGGACUGCAUGAGCUAUGUUGACGAUGUGUACAAACCAAAAUGCAUAUAUAAAGUAUGAAAAUUUGAAUUCCCACCAGACCCAAAAAGCCUACUGGAUUUUGGUCGGAUACGCAACAAUAUGAAUAUUUGGGAGAAGAUUGACCAACCAAGGUUAUACAAUUAUUGUAGGAACGGCCUGGGCAUAGUAAGUCAAGAUGUCCACAAUUGGGGGCAACAUUGAGGAGAAGAACAAAUUAAAACAUUCGAUCGUUUUUUUUUGAAUAAGCAUACAAGAAAAAACAAAUAAAUUUUUUCAUUUUUUCAUUGCUUCUCAGCUUUUGGUAAAUUGUAAAUAAGUAUAUAUAAUUAAUGUAAAAUACAAUACAAUACAAAACAAUAUAAAUACUUUUUUUCCUUUUUUUUAGAUUGUAAAUAAGCUUAUUAUUGAAAAGGCAUACAAUAGAAUACAAUAGAAAUAAUUUUUUAAUUUUUUCGUAGAUUGUAAAUAAGUAUACAUUAUUGAUGUAAAAUAUAGUUGAAAAUACUUUUUUGAUAAAAUUGGAAUAAACACAUUAUGGAUGGAAAUUUUUAAUACAAUACAAAUUGAUCAUUAACAAACUAAAUGACGAUUUACAUAAGAAAAAUUUAAAAUAAAAAAAUCAUCAGCUUUGUUGGCCCGAAUGUGUGCCACAACCCGGUGAGUGUCAGUUAUGAGUAGGAUUUCAUCGUAGUUGGGGUUCUAGCUCUUCCUUAUCUUCACCUCCACCUCCAACUUGAUCUUCACCUUCAUCUUGUUCCUCUGUGCUUGUAUGCAUUAAAUUCUUGCAAUACAGGGGAGAGAAACCUAGUUUUCCCGUAAGCUUAUUAUCAAAAAAGUUGAGCAGUUUCAGGUUCCAGCAAAUGGAAAGGGGCUCAGCGAUCUUACUCAGCCAAUAGUGAGCUAAGAAAUCUUUAAUGACAAUAUGGGUGCGGGUUUUCGAGGAAUACAAAUAACCUCUGGGUUUUUUUUCCAAAUUUGACAAGCAUCUAGAAUAACUAGUGAAUUACAAUUCUAUUGUACCACAAUAGGUGCAUUGGUCUUUGCGGACUUGAUGUUUUUUGCCUGUUGGUUCUAUUAUCACAAAGCAAACCCAAAAUUGGCUUGGUUCCGAGAUGUAGAAUCUAUAUUGAAUCACCAUUUAGCAAGGCUACUGGGGCUUGGUUACCUUUCUUGGGCGGGGCAUCAAGUACAUGUCUCUUUACCAAUAAACCAAUUUCUAAAUGCUUUAGUAGACUCUAAAGAGAUCCCACUUCCCCAUGAAUUUAUAUUGAAUCAUGAUCUUUUGGCUCAACUUUAUCCCAGUUCUGUCGAGGGAACAACCCCAUUUUUACCUUGAAUUGGUCAAAAUAUGCGAAAUUUCUUACUAUUCGUGGAUGAUUAAAUCCAGUGAUUGGGGGUCCAUGGUUGACUGGCAUUGCACACCAUCAUUUAGCUAUUACAAUUCUUUUCCUAAUAGUAGGUCACAUGUAUAGGACCAAUUGAGAUAUUGGACAUAGCCUAAAAGAUAUUCUAGAGGCUGUUAACCACCAGGUCGGAGGUUCAAGCCCACUUUGUAGCGUUUCACUUUUGGUAAAAUUUCAUCCUUGGUCCCUUUAAAUUCCUUUUUGCUUUAAUUUGAUUGCUUUCUAGACCAAGAAGCAGACCAAGCUGUAAGAGCCAUGCAAGCUGCACCUGAAGCUUAUGUUGCUGUUUUGUUACUUUCAAAUAGAUAUUUUAUUACUUACUUAGAUAUGAACUAAGUUGUUGAUAUGCUUGAACUAAUUAGGUGCUGAUAGAUUGAUAAAUCAGCUUUACCAAGUGUACAAGCAAUGUUUAUCAAGUUACUAAGCCACUUAGUGGAGUUAGGUAUGUGUUUAGGUAACAUUUUCUUAUUUUUGACCAGCUGAUUGCUUAGUAUAUGUAAUGGCAUUGUGCCUUCAUUCAAAUGUAAUGAAAUCUUUCAGAAAAUUCUUCUUCAUUUGGUCUUUACUUAAAACAUUUUUAUUCACAAAGCUCUUGCUGUUUUUGUUUUGUUUGUUGAGCUAGAUAUCAAUGCUUUAUGCUUAAGUUUCUGUCAAAAUUUCUAAUUUUGUUUUCUUAGUUCCUACAGACAUUUUGUUCUCCUUUCUCCUUGACUGAGCAGUAGCAAAGAUUAUUGAGACUAAAUUGAAAUCCAUGAAAGAAGACAUAAACAACACCACCAUACAAAAUGUUACACUCAAACAAACCAUUACAGAUAGUACGAAAUGCAAUGAAAGACAGAGGAAUUGGUACAAUAAUAAAGACAGACAGAUCCCAAUGCAACCCUUCACCAUAGGCAAAACGGUCUACAAAACAAGAAAUUAUGAAAAUACAACACUAAUUCUUGAACAUCAUUUGCAGUAAUUAGAUCCUUCUUCGUCUACUGCUACGAUUGCCUUUCUUUGACUUUCUUCUUCGCCUCUUCUCUUGUUGGUUUUCAACCAAAUUCACCAACCAUUUCGGCUUACCAGUUUGGAAAACAACAUAUCCCACGGACAUUCCGAACACCACUCCGCAUCCAUAACCUAUCAACACCACUUUCCAACCAAAAGCAAUGUUUGAUUUUGAGCCAUCUUUUUCAAGCACAUUUGGAGGUGCUGGCUCAAUGAUGUUGCAACCUUUCGAGACCGGAAAUCCACAUAGUCCCUUAUUCCCUUCAUAUGAAUCAUUUCCAAAUGUGUUGAAUAGUUUGCCUUGAGGAAUCUGACCAUGGAGUUGAUUUUCAGAAACAUUUAAGGACGAAAGAAAUGGCAGAUCUGCCAAUCUAUUUGGAAUCAUCCCAGACAACCUGUUUGAAGAUAGGUCCAACCAUUCAAGACUUGUCAAAUUCCCUAUUGAGGUGGGGAUAUCACCAUUAAGGUUAUUAUGAGAAAGGUUGAGCCCUUUCAGUAAGUUAAGCUUCCCAAUAACCUUUGGAAUACCCCCUUCAAACUGAUUGUUUGAUAGAUCAAUGAUCAUCCACAUGGUGAAAAUUUUCACCAAUUCCA